rnacentral:lncRNA from 1 species
UUUUUUUGUUUUCUUUGUUGCUUUAUUUAUUUUAUUUUGUGAUUAACAUUACUAUAAAAAUAGUUUUUUCCUGUUUUUUUGAUUUGUUUUUUGCAUUAUUUAUUUACUUUUGUUUUUUGCUUUAAUUUUUAAUUCUGUUUGCUUUUAGGUUAGCAAAAUUAUAAACUUUCUGUUAGUGCCAUUAGUUUUAGAAAAAUUAUAAACUUUCUGUUAGUGCCAUUAGUUUUAAAAUUUGAAUAGUUAAAAUUUGAAUUCUUUGAAAAUUGUUUGAAUCACAAGUUUGUGAUUAACUUACUAAAAAAAUGAUAAUAGAUGCGCUUAUAGAGAAAAUUCAACCUAAAUUCCUAGUAAAUUUCUAUGAAUUUUAGAGAAAUUCACUAUGAAUUUAAGUUAAACUUUUCUCUAUUAGGGCAUCUAUUUUCACUUUGAGAGGAGCUCAACAAGGCAGAGAGGGAAGGGCUUAUAAACCGGUGUGAGCCCCCUUCGGUUGGCGAGGUGGGACUAAACUCUGUCCGCAACGAGGACCAACCCUUUAGUCCCGGUUUGUGGCACAAACCGGACUAAUGGUCAUGGGCCAGGGGCGAGGAGCAAAAUUAUAAACUUUCUGUUAGUGCCAUUAGUUUUAGAAAGUUGAAAGUUGAAAGUUGGCAUGGGCCAGGGACUAAUGGUCAUGGUAUUACGAGGGCCGAACCAUAAGACAUGAAAGCAUUUCAAAUGAACUCUGAAAAAGUUGAAAGUUGGCAUGGUAUCACAAUUUCACCCACAUAGCAUGUGCAUGUACAAAACGGACAAUGGUAGCAUGUUCGUGUGUUACAAAGUUGGCAUGGUAUCAUCAUAAUAGUUGCGGGAGAAAGUCUUCACUUUUUCUUCGCUUGGAUCAUUUGCUUAUUGCGCCGUAACCAUGGAUAAUCUUCAUUGUUUAUCAGGAUGCUUGGGUCAGCCUUGAAAUUAAAGGGAGGAAUUUCAUGAAACUUUUCAUAAUCUUUAGACAUGUCUGUCUUGCCGUCCACUCCCAGGAUGUCCCUUUUUCCUGAAAGAACUAUGUGGCGCUUUGGCUCAUCGUAUGAUGUAUUCGCUUCCUUAUCUUUUCUUUUUCUCGGUUUGGUAGACAUGUCCUUCACAUAGAUAACCUGUGCCACAUCAUUGGCUAGGACGAACGGUUCGUCAAUGUACCAAAGAUUUUUUAGAUCCACUGUUGUCAUUCCGUACUGUGGGUCUACCUGUACCCCGCCACCUAACAGAUUGACCCAUUUGGACUUAAACAAAGGGACCUUAAAAUCAGGUCCGUAGUCAAGUUACCAUAUGUCCACUAUGUAACCAUAAUAUGUGUCCUUUCCGCUCUCGGUUGCUGCAUCAAAGCGGACACCGCUGUUUUGGUUGGUGCUCUUUUGAUCUUGGGCGAUCGUGUAAAAUGUAUUCCCAUUUAUCUCGUAUCCUUUGUAAGUCAAUACAGUCAAAGAUGGUCCCCUGGACAACAAGUACAACACAUCACAAACAGUGUUGUCACCUCUGAGACGUGUUUCGAACCAACUGCUGAAAGUCCUGAUGUGUUCACAUGUAAUCCAAUCGUUGCACUGCUCCGGGUGUUUGGAGCGCAGACUGUUCUUGUGUUCAUCGAUAUACGGGGUCACCAAGGUAGAGUUCUGUAGAAUUGUGUAGUUUUCUUGAGACCAAGAAUAUUCGUCCCUGCAUAUUAUUGAGUCUCUUCCAAGAGUGCCUUUUCCAGUCAGUCUCCCCUCAUACCGCGAUUUAGGAAGACCUAUCUUCCUAAGGCCAGGAAUGAAGUCAACACAAAACCCGAUAACAUCCUCUGUUUGAUGGCCCAUGGAGAUGCUUCCUUCUGGCCUAGCGCGGUUACGGACAUAUUUCUUUAGGACUCCCAUGAACCUCUCAAAGGGGAACAUAUUGUGUAGAAAUACGGGCCCCAGGAUGACAAUCUCGUCGACUAGAUGAACUAGGACGUGCGUCAUGAUAUUGAAGAAAGAUGGUGGGAACACCAGCUCGAAACUGACAAGACAUUGCGCCACAUCACUCCUUAGCCUUGGUACGAUUUCUGGAUCAAUCACCUUUUGAGAGAUUGCAUUGAGGAAUGCACAUAGCUUCACAAUGGAUAAUCAGACGUUUUCCAGCAGAAGCCCCCUCAAUGCAACCGGAAACAGUUGCGUCAUAAUCACGUGGCAGUCAUGAGACUUUAGGUUCUGAAACUUUUUCUCUGGCAUAUUUAUUAUUCCCUUUAUAUUCGACGAGAAGCCAGUCGUGACCUUCAUACUAAGCAGGCAUUCAAAGAAGAUUUCUUUCUCUUCUUUCGUAAGAGCGUAGCUGGCAGGACCUUUAUACUGCUUCAGAGGCAUGCCGUCUUUUUCGUGCAAACGUUGCAGGUCCUCCCGUGCCUCAAGUUUAUCUUUUGUCUUCCCAUACACGCCCAAGAAGCCUAGUAGGUUCACGCAAAGGUUCUUCGUCACGUGCAUCACGUCGAUUGAGGAGCGGACCUCUAGGUCUUUCCAGUAGGGUAGGUCCCAAAAUAUAGAUUUCUUCUUCCACAUGGGUGCGUGUCCCUCAGCGUCAUUCGGACCAGCUAGUCCACCGGGACCCUUUCCAAAGAUUACGUAGUGUAAAUCAUUGACCAUAGCAAGCACGCGAUCACCGGUGUGCAUGGCGGGCUUCUUCCGGUGAUUUGCCUCACCUUUGAAAUGCUUGCCUUUCUUUCGACAUUGAUGGUUGGUCGAAAGAAAUCGACGAUGGCCCAGGUACACAUUCUUCCUGCAUUUGUCCAGGUAUAUACUUUCAGUGUCAUCUAAACAGUGUGUGCAUGUGUGGUAUCCUUUGUUUUUCUGUCCUGAAAGGUUACUGAGAGCGGGACAAUCAUUGAUGGUCACGAACAACAACGCCUUAAGGUUAAAUUCCUCCUGUCUGUGCUCAUCCCACGUACGUACACCAUUUCCAUUCCACAGCUGUAAAAGUUCUUCAACUGAUGGCCUUAGGUACACAUCAAUUUCGUUGUCGGGUUGCUUAGGGCCUUGGAUGAGAACUGGCAUCAUAAUGAACUUCCGCUUCAUGCACAUCCAAGGAGGAAGGUUAUACAUACAUAGAGUCACGGGCCAGGUGCUGUGAUUGCUGCUCUGCUCCCCGAAAGGGUUAAUGCCAUCCGCGCUUAAAGCAAACCAUACAUUCCUUAGGUCCUUUGUAAACUCAUCCCAGUACUUUCUCUCGAUUUUUCUCCACUGCGACCCGUCAGCGGGUGCUCUUGACUUCCCAUCUUUCUUUCGGUUCUCACUGUGCCAUCGCAUCAACUUGGCAUCCUCUUCGUUUCUGAACAGACGUUUCAACCGUGGUAUUAUAGGAGCAUACCACAUCACCUUCGCAGGAACCCUCUUCCUGGGGGGCUCGCCGUCAACAUCACCAGGGUCAUCUCGUCUGAUCUUAUACCGCAAUGCACCGCAUACCGGGCAUGCGUUCAAAUCCUUGUAUGCACCGUAGUAGAGGAUGUAGUCAUUAGGGCAUGCAUGUAUCUUCUCCACCUCCAAUCCUAGAGGGCAUACGACCUUCUUUGCUGCGUAUGUACUGUCGGGCAUUUCGUUAUCCUUUGGAAGCUUCUUCUUCAAUAUUUUCAGUAGCUUCUCAAAUCCUUUGUCAGCCACAGCAUUCUCUGCCUUCCACUGCAGCAAUUCCAGUACAGUACCGAGCUUUGUGUUGCCAUCUUCGCAAUUGGGGUAUAACCCUUUUUUUGAUCCUCUAACAUGCGAUCGAACUUCAGCUUCUCCUUUUGACUUUCGCAUUGCGUCCUUGCAUCGACAAUGACCCGGUGGAGAUCAUCAUCAUCGGGCACAUCGUCUGGUUCCUCUUGAUCUUCAGCAGCUUCACCCGUUGCAGCAUCAUUGGGCACAUCGUCUGGUUCCUCUUGAUCUUCACCAGCUCCCCCCCGUUGCAACAUCACCGUAUUCAGGGGGCACAUAGUUGUCAUCGUACUCUUCUUCUUGGAUGUCUUCCAUCAUAACCCGUAUUUCUCCGUGCCUCGUCCAAACAUUAUAGUGUGGCAUGAAACCCUUGUAAAGCAGGUGGGAGUGAAGGAUUUUCCGGUUAGAGUAAGACCUCGUAUUCCCACAUUCAGUGCAUGGACACCACAUAAAACCAUUCUGCUUGUUUGCCUCAGCCGCAUCGAGAAACUCAUGCACGCCCUUAAUGUACUCGCGGGUGUGUCUGUCACCGUACAUCCAUUGCCGGUUCAUCUGCGUGCAUUAUAUAUAAUUAAGUUCAUCAUCACAUUAAAACCAAAGUGCAUACAUAGUUCUCAUCUAACAACAUAUAGCUCUCCAGAGCAUCUAAUUAAUUAAACCAUACAUUGAAACUAUGUAAAACAUUUCAAUGCGAAAACAAAUGCGAUCAUAAUCGCAACCAAGGUAACAAUUGAUCCAACGGCAUAAUGAUACCAAGCCUCAGUAUGAAUGGUAUAUUUUCUAAUCUUUCUAAUCUUCAAGCGCAUUGCAUCCGUCUUGAUCUUGUGAUCAUCGACGACAUCCGCAACAUGCAACUCCAAUAUCAUCUUCUCCUCCUUAAUUUUUUUUAUUUUUUCCUUCAACAAAUUGUUUUCUUCUUCAACUAAAUUUAACCUCUCGACAAUAGGGUCGGUUGGCAUUUCCGAUUCACAUACAUCCUACAUAAAUAAAAUCUAUGUCACGUUGGUCGGCAUAAUUUUCAUAAACAAUAAAUGAACCAAUAGUUAUAAAGAUAAUAUAUAUACCACAUCCGAAUCAUAGACAGGACGAGGGCCGACGGGGGCGGAUACCAAAAGCAUUGCACUAUAUAAGAUGCAAUAAUAAAAGUAAGAAAAUAAUACAAGUAUCUAUCUAAACAUACAAGUAAGAAUAUUUUUCCUUUCAGAAAGAAGAUAAGAACAAGAGGCUUACCACGGUGGUGCCGGCGAUGAGCUCGCCGCGGGUGAUCGACGGCGGUGAAGACGGGGACGGGGCGUGACGGACCGCUAAACCUAGACAAAUAUUAUGGAAAAUGGAGCUUGGAGGUCGAGCUUGGAGAGGAGAAAGUUUAAGUAGUGUGGCUCGGGCAUUCCAUCGAACACCUUGUGUGCAUAGGAGGUGAGCUAGAGCACCACCAAGCCCUCUCCCCCUUGGCCAGAGAAAAACAGAGCACUGGGGUGCUCUGCUCGCGAGCGAGGGGUAUAUAUAGGCACCUCAUUGAUCCCGGUAGGUGACAUGAGCCGGGACUAAAGGGGAGUCUUUGGUCCCGGUUCAAGCAAUCAACCGGGACCAAUGGUGGUGGGCCAGGAGCGAGGCCCAUUGGUCCCGGUUCAUCCCACCAACCGGGACCAAAAGGUCCAGAUGAACCGGGACCAAUGGCCCACGUGGCCCGGCCGGCCCCCUAGGCUCACGAACCGGGACCAAUGCCCACAUUGGUCCCGGUUCUGGACUGAACCGGGACUAAUGGGCUGACCCGGCCUGGAUCAAAGCCCUGUUUUCUACUAGUGUAUCAGGAGGAGACAAAGACCAUUUUAUUUUUUCAGAAAGAAAAGAAGCAGAGGAUUUGCUGCAGUGCAAUUACUUGACGGGAGAACCUAAAUGAUUCAGACAGCAAUGCCCGUGCAUUCAUUUUUAUGAAUACCAGUACACGCACCCAGCCUUUAUGAGCGACUUUCGCAUUCAUGUAAAUUUGAACUGAUACAAUAGCCAGUACACAAAUAUCAGCCAAUGUGAUGAGCUUACUCGACGCAAUUCCGGAUCAUCUACUUUUGGUAACUCAGAAUGGCGUAGGCCGUCUGCAGCAUCGCCGGCACAAUGAUCAGCGCAGCCACUACGGCGAGCGAGACGGCCACCCAUGGAGAAGGGAAGAAGUGCAGUAUGAAGUCUCCGUACCACCUGCUUGACCGCCUCCUCCUGUGCCGCGCCACCGCGCUGAGCAUCUCGCCGUACUCUUGAGGCAUGCGCACCCCGGCCGCCUCCGCGACGAUGCCACGGAAGAAAUCCACCACCUCCUCGUCGGUGUACUUUACGCUACCGAGUGCCCACCGGCGGCGAAGCAGCGCCGCGUCCUGCGGGCACCGUAUGAGGCCCUCCAUGCGCGCCACGUGCGCCGUCACGCAGACGCCGUGCGCCCGUUGGAAGUGCUUCUCGAAAGCCACCAUGUUGUGGAGCAACGCCGCGGUGUAGGCGAGGAUGUGGAAGCUCGGGAUGGUCAUCACCGCCACCGGGCUCGCCGCCGUGCUCCAGAACUGCAUGUCGAGGUCGCCGCCGUGCCUCUCCCUCGCGUCCAGCUUGGCCUUCCUGAACCACACUGCCGACAGCUGCAGCUCCCUGGCGCAAGGGAUGAGCCACUCCGACUCCUCCUUGGCCUCGAGAAGCUUUAAUGGCGUGGAGAGGACGCGGUACUUGUUCUCCGGCACGCGCGACCAGUGGAAGAGGUUUGCUGGAGCGGCAAGUCGAUGACCUUCCCGCGCGCCCUCCUCGGACAGAUGCCGUCGAAGCAGCCAAGCACCAGCUCCUCGACUGAGCGUAGCUUCAGAACGCAGCACGAGGCUGCGAGCAGCUUGACGACGGCGAAGGGGAUCUGAUUUUCCAGCACGAGCAGGUCGAGCAUGAUCUCGUCGGCGUACUGCGACACGGCCGUGUACAGUAUGAAGUGCUCCCUGGUAACGGGCACCGCCGCCCGUUCCUCCCCGCUGCCGGCCUUGCUGAACAUGAUGCUGAAGACGAGGACGAAGCUGCUGUCGAGGAGGAGCAUCUUCACGAACUUCUCCUCGUCCAGGAGCCAAUCCGCGGCGACCGAAUCCGCGUCGUCGGCGAACUCGUCGCGAAAGCUGCCGCGCGCCGCCCCGAGCGCCGCGACGUACUGCUCGACGUCUAGCCCGCACCGGUCCUGCAGGCACCGCAGGAACGGCAGCUUGGCCUCGUCGUCAAAGGCGAGGCCUCGGUCGCCGCGGUGGUACGGGCCAAUGGCCACAGCGCGCACCGUGUGUAGCGCCUUCACGUUGGCGCGCCGGGUGCGCGGCCGGAGGAUGGUGGCCGCGCGCUCGCCGAGGAACCACAGCAUCGGCGUACGGCCGAUGAGCUCGUUCAGGACGGCCGAGCUACGUGACGCCGAUGUGAGCUCGCGCAGCCACCCCGUGUGGAUCUCGCCGCCGCCGCUCUGAUUUACAGCAAUAUUCCUGCCGGUGGUUGGACUAAGAGCAAUGUCAAUGCUCAGCUCAUGGCUUGUGCUCAUUGUGAAUUUUGUGAUUCAUCACUCCGUGUUCAUCUGGAAAAUUAUGGUACUCCUCUAUGUAAAGUUGACUUGGGGAAUACCCUGGAAACUGAAGCGGGGCUUGCUGAGCAUCAGAAAUUCAGCGGAAAAAAAUCCUUUGACCAGACACCAUGAUGACGGCGUUUCAUUUCUUGGUUGGCCCAUCUUAGCCGUUUACAAUCGAUCAAGUGGUGCGUGGUGACAACGCACGGGAAGUAUUUUAUUUCUGCCAGCGACUAUGGCUCAAUUGAUUUAGUCUAGUUCUUCUUGGGAACACAAUGCUUUUCUGAUCAUCAAUCAUGUAGGAGAAGUUCAGCGACUCUCCUAUGUUCAGUUUCGGGACGUUUUUUCCGUCCGGAACAGAUCCUGUAAUAUUGGCCGUUCACUAAAUCUUUUUGCGGGAUCCUCCAAAGUCCGGGCCGAUUCCGUCAUAUCUAAGGUUUCCCUCCCUUUUUUUGCUGGUUCCCCUAUCUCUCCCACGUCUUGGCGCAAAGGAAGUUUCAACUCGCGCAUCUUCCCCUCUACCGCCGCAUCUCCCUGUGGUCUCUUAAGCUUGCUGCCCCCGGCCGCCCUGCGCUGUGUGAUGGUGUCCUGGAUUAGGGGCGCUAACCACGUCGGCCCCUUUAUAGUGUGUCGGGCUGAGGACCUCUGGAUCAUCAACAAUUGGGCCAAGACUGCCAUGCGCUUCGAAGUUCUCAAGAUGGAAUCUUCCGAAUGCUUGGCGCAUACUCCAAGAUACAUUUGAAUUAUCAGCAUGUUUAUCCCUAGAUGUAACCGACCUCUUGUAUAUCCUAGGUACCACCGGUCCCUAUAUAAGCCAUGGGUUUUUAGCUUGUAGGGUAGAGAAUCAUUCAUACGCAUACGAUCUCAAGUUAGAUCAUCUUGUAAUUUGUACUCCAACACAACCAAUACAACAGAAGCAGGACAUAGGGUUUUACCUCUUCAAGAGGGCCCGGGGUAAACAUCGUGUCUCUUGUUCAUUCUGUUACCAUCAAGCUAGGAUCACCAAUUCAGUACCCCUACCCGAACCAUACACCGUGCAGUACCUCCGCCGCCCCUGCCGCACCUUCUCGACCAAUUUCGGAGGCCGGGGGGGGGGGCAUUUUCCCCCACGGCGAGCGGCCGCUAGCACCAUGGAUCCGGCCCGGAGCUUGCCGCGCGGCCUUCUAGCCGGCGGGUCCGGUUGGUUCCGACGCCGGUGAGCCUCAGAAUCGCUCAGGGACAGCCACGUACACCGGCUCCACGGUUUGUGGCCGUGGCGAAGAAGGGGCUUGGCCGAUUUACUUCAGCCGGCACCGAAGAAGAAAGGGCUGGCUCACUUGAUUCUGGCUGGCAGAAUUGCAUCCGCGGAAGGUAAGUUCAAUGCCCGAUGAUUUAUUGAUUCAAUUUUGAUUGGCGACAUUUAGGAAAAAUCAUGGGUGUGCAUUUAAUUUUUUUAGAUGGAUGCUUGGAGUUCGUCGUCGUCAUUUUCAUCGGAUGAUUCUGAUAGAGAGGAGAUGCUUUUAGACGACGAUGUUGACAACCUAGUGUUGUUGCAUCUGGUGGACAAAUUUGAGAAGGGCCCCAAGAGAAAGUGCCAGAGAUCCAUGGUUGGCCGGCUAUGCAUUUCACGUAACCGAGCUCUAGAUAACAAGAUGCUCGUGAAGGACUAUUAGUAAGAAAAGGGUUUUCCCCCCCUUUAUAUUAUAAAGCAAACCACCACUACAUUGAUCCAAGUACAGAAGAGGAACGGACUAACAGAAAAAACAGCAAAUAUACAAGAUGCCAAAAGAGCCGCUAACAAACAUCGAAUGCCCAAGCGUUGGCUUGAGCAUCGAGGCUUUCGGCGAACAAGAUCAUGCAGACGACUUGAUACGUCUCCAAUGUAUCUAUAAUUUUUGAUUGCUCCAUGCUAUAUUAUCUACUGUUUUGGACUAUAUUGGGCUUUAUUUUCCACUUUUAUAUUAUUUUUGGGACUAACCUAUUAACCGGAGGCCCAGCCCAGAAUUGCUGUUUUUUUGCCUAUUUCGGUGUUUCGAAGAAACGGAAUAUCAAACGGAGUCCAAACGGAAUAAAAUCUUCGGGAACGUGAUUUUCUCAUCGAACGUGAUCCAGGAGACUUGGACCCUGCUCCAAGGAACAAAAGAGGCGGUCACGAGGGUGGCCCCCCCCCAGGGCGCGCCCCCUGCCUCGUGGGCCCCUCGUUGAUCCUCCGACGUACUUCUUCCUCCUAUAUAUACACACGUACCCCCAAACGAUCAGAACAGGAGCCAAAAACCUAAUUCCACCGCCGCAACUUUCUGUAUCCACGAGAUCCCAUCUUGGGGCUUGUUCCGGAACUCCACCGGAAGAGGGCCGUCAUCACGGAGGGCUUCUACAUCAUCAUAGCCUCUCCGGUGAAGUGUGAGUAGUUUACUUCAGACCUUCGGGUCCAUGGUUAGUAACUAGAUGGCUUCUUCUCUCUCUUUGAAUCUCAAUACAAAGUUCUCCCCCUCUCUCGUGGAGAUCUAUUCGAUGUAAUCUUCUUUUUGCGGUGUGUUUGUUGAGAUCGAUGAAUUGUGGAUUUAUGAUCAAGUCUAUCUAUGAAUAAUAUUUGAAUCUUCUCUGAAUUCUUUUAUGCAUGAUUGGUUAUCUUUGCAAGUCUCUUUGAAUUAUCCGUUUGGUUUGGCCAACUAGAUUGGUAGUUCUUGCCAUGGGAGAAGUGCUUAGCUUUGGGUUCGAUCUUGCGGUGUCCUUACCCAGUGACAGAAGGGGCAGCAAGGCACGUAUUGUAUCAUUGCCAUCGAGGAUAACAAGAUGGGAUUUAUUUCAUAUUGCAUGAAUUUAUCUCUCUACAUCAUGUCAUCUUGCUUAAGGCAUUACUGUGUUUUUAACUUAAUACUCUAGAUGCAUGCUAGAUAGCGGUCGAUGAGUGGAGUAAUAGUAGUAGAUGCAGAAUCGUUUCGAUCUACUUGUCACGGAUGUGAUGCCUAUAUACAUGAUCAUGCCUAGAUAUUCUCAUAAUUAUGCACAAUUCUAUAUAUUGCUCAACAGUAAUUUGUUCACCCACCGUAGAAUACUUAUGCUCUUGAGAGAAGCCACUAGUGAAACCUAUGGCCCCCGGGUCUAUUCUCAUCAUAUCAAUCUCCAUCACUUUUAUAUUGUUUUGCUAUUUACUUUGCCUUUACUUUUUACUUUGCAUCUUCAUAUUAAAAAUACAAAAAAUAUUCUAUCUAUCGGAUCUCACUCUUGUAAGUGACCGUGAAGGGCUUGACAACCCCUAAUCGCGUUAGUUGCGAGUAGCUGUCGCUUUGUGCAGGUACGAGGGACUUGAGCGUGGGCUCCUACUGGAUUGAUACCUUGGUUCUCAAAAACUGAGGGAAAUACUUACGCUACUCUGCUGCAUCAUCCCUUCCUCUUCAGGGAAAACCAACGCAAGCUCAGGACGUAGCAAGAAGGAUUUCUAGCGCCGUUUCCGGGGAGAUUCACGCCAAGUCAAGUCAAGAUUUGACUCCCGACAACGAGCCAUUUCUGGCGCCGUUGCCGGGGAGCCUACGCAAAAAGUCAACAUACCAAGUACCCAUCACAAUCCCUAUCUCUCGCAUUACAUUAUUUGCCAUUUGCCUCUCAUUUUCCUCUCCCCCCAAUUCACCAUUGCCGUUUUAUUUGCCCUCUCUCUCUAUCCUCCCUCUCUAUUUGCCUCUUUUUGCUCGUGUGUUAGAUUGCUUGCUUGUCGCGAUGGCUCAAGAUACUACCAAAUUGUGUGACUUCACCAAUACCAAUAAUAAUGAUUUCCUUAGCACUCCGAUUGCUCCUCUUACCGAUGCUGAAUCUUGUGAAAUUAAUACUGCUUUGUUGAAUCUUGUUAUGAAAGAUCAAUUCACCGGCCUUCCUAGUGAAGAUGCCGCUACUCAUCUGAAUAGCUUCGUUGAUUUAUGUGAUAUGCAAAAGGAAAAGGAAGUCAAUAAUGAUGUCGUUAAAUUGAAGCUAUUUCCUUUUUCGCUUAGAGAUCGUGCUAAAGCUUGGUUUUCGUCUUUACCUAAGAAUAGUAUUGAUUCAUGGAACAAGUGCAAAGAUGCUUUUAUCUCUAAGUAUUUUCCUCCCGCUAAGAUCAUCUCUCUUAGAAACGAUAUUACGAACUUUAAACAACUUGAUCAUGAACAUGUUGCACAAUCUUGGGACAGAAUGAAAUUAAUGAUACGUAAUUGCCCUACUCAUGGUUUGAAUUUGUGGAUGAUUAUACAAAAAAUUUAUGCCAGAUUGAAUUUUGCUUCUAGAAAUCUUUUAGAUUCGGCCGCGGGAGGCACUUUUAUGGAAAUCACUGUAGGAGAUGCUACUAAACUCCUAGAUAAUGUUAUGGUUAAUUAUUCUCAAUGGCAUACUGAAAGAACAUCUAAUAAAAAAGUGCAUGCGAUAGAAGAAAUUAAUGUGUUGAGUGGAAAGAUGGAUGAACUUAUGAAAUUAUUUGCUUCUAAAAGUGUUUCUUCUGAUCCUAAUGAUAUACCUUUGUCUACUUUGAUUGAGAAUAACAAUGAAUCUAUGGAUGUGAAUUUUGUUGGUAAGAAUAACUUUGGUAACAACGCUUAUAGAGGGAAUUUUAAUCCUAGGCCAUAUCCUAGUAAUCCUUCUAAUAAUUAUGGGAAUUCCUACAACAACUCUUAUGGAAAUUAUAAUAAGAUACCCUCUGAUUUUGAAUCUAAUAUUAAAGAAUUUAUUUCUUUGCAAAAGAAUUUUAAUGCUAUGAUUGAAGAAAAAUUGCUUAAGAUUGAUGAUUUGGCUAGGAACGUUGAUAGAAUUGCUCUUGAUGUUGAUGAUUUGAAACUUAGAUCUAUUCCACCUAAGCAUGAUAUUAAUGAGUCUCUAAAAGCCAUGAGAAUUUCAAUUGAUGAGUGUAAAGAAAGAACCGCUAGGAUGCGUGCUUCCAAAGAUGCCUUUAUUAAAGCGUGUUCUUCCAAUUCCUAUGAAAGUAAUGAUGAAGAUCUAAAAGUUAUUGAUGUGUCUCCAAUUAAAUCUUUGUUUUGCAAUAUGAAUCUUGAUGAAACUGAAUAUGAUCUUCCUUUACCUAGAAGGCGUUCUAAAAAUUUGGAGUGUUUAGAUCUUAAUGAUGAAAUUGAUGAAAGUGGGAUGGAAAGAAAUAAAAAUCUAGAUGUUGCUAAACCCACUAUAUUGGAUUUCAAGGAAUUUAGUUAUGAAAAUUGAUCUUUAAUUGAUUGUAUUUCCUUGUUGGAAUCCGUGCUAAAUUCUCCAUAUGCUUAUAGUCGAAAUAAAGCCUUUACCGAACAUAUUGUUGAUGCCUUGAUGCAAUCCUAUGAAGAAAAACUUGAGUUGAAAGUUUCUAUCCCUAGAAAACUCUAUGAUGUGUGGGAACCAACUAUUAAAAUUAAAAUUAAAGAUCAUGAGUUUUAUUCUUUGUGUGAUUUGGGUGCUAGUGUCUCUACUAUUCCCAAGACUUUGUGUGAUUUACUAGAUUUCCGUAAUUUUGAUGAUUGCUCUCUAAACUUGCAUCUUGCGGAUUUCACUAUCAAGAAACCUAUGGGAAGAAUUAAUGAUGUUCUUAUUGUUGCAAAUAGGAAUUAUGUGCCCAUAGAUUUCAUUGUUCUUGAUAGAGAUUGCAAUCCUUAUUUCCCUAUUAUUCUUGGUAGACCUUUCCUUAGAACGGUUGGUGCGAUUAUUGAUAUGAAGGAAGGGAAUAUUAGAUUUCAAUUUCCAUUAAAAAGGGCAUGGAACACUUUCCAAGAAAGAAAAUAAAAUUACCAUAUGAAACUAUCAUGAGGGCCACUUAUGGAUUGCCUACCAAAGAUGGCAAUACCUAGAUCUAUUCUUGCUUGUUAUGCCAAGCUAGGGGCGUUAAACGAUAGCGCUUGUUGGGAGGCAACCCAAUUUUAUUUUUAUUCCUUGCUAUUUGCUCCUGUUUAGUAAUAAAUAAAUUAUUUAGCCUUUGUUUUGGUUGUGUUUUUUGUGUUUAAUUAGUGUUUGUGCCAAGUAGAACCGUUGGCAAGACUUGGGGAAAGUCUUGUUGAACUUGCUGUAAAAAAAAGAAACUUUAGCGCUCACGAGAACUGCUGUCAUUUUUAUUUGAAGAGUUCUAUUGUUGGGUUACGUAGUAAUUUCAAAAAAAUUCCUACGCACACGCAAGAUCAUGGUGAUGCAUAGCAACGAGAGGGGGAGAGUGUGAUCUACGUACCCUUGUAGAUCGACAACGGAAGCGUUAACUUGGUUGAUGUAGUCGUACGUCUCCACGGCCCGACCGAUCAAGCACCGAAACUACGACACCUCCGAGUUCUAGCACACGUUCAGCUCGAUGAUGAUCCCCAGACUCCGAUCCAGCAAAGUGUCGGGGAAGAGUUCCGUCAGCACGACGGCGUGGUGACGAUCUUGAUGUUCUACUGUCGUAGGGCUUCGCCUAAGCACCGCUACAAUAUUAUCGAGGACUAUGGUGGAAGGGGGCCCCGCACAUGGCUAAGAAUAUGAUCACGUGGAUCAACUUGUGUCUAUGGGGUGCCUCUUGCCUCCAUAUAUAAAGGAUCCAAGGGGGGUGCGGCCGGCCCUAGUAGGAGGCGCGCAGGAGGAGUCCUACUCCUACCGAGAGUAGGACUCCCCUCCCUUUCCUUGUCCAAGUAGGAGAGGGGGAAGGAAGGGAGAGAGGAGAGGGGGGCGCCGCCCCUCCCUCCUUGUCCAAUUCGGACUAGGGGAGAGGGGGCGCACGGCCUGCCCUGGCAGCCCCUCCUCUUCUCCACUUUAGGCCCAUGAGGCCCAUUAACCCCCCCCCCCCGGGGGGUUCCGGUAACCCCACGGUGCUCCGCUUUUAUCCGAAACUUCCCCGGAACACUUCCGGUGUCCGAAUAUAGCCGUCUAAUAUAUCAAUCUUCAUGUCUCGACCAUUUCGAGACUCCUCAUCAUGUUCGUGAUCACAUCCGGGACUCCGAACUAACUUCGGUACAUCAAAACUCAUAAACUCAUAAUAUAACUGUCAUCGAAACCUUAAGCGUGCGGACCCUACGGGUUCGAGAACAAUGUAGACAUGACCGAGACACGUCUCCGGUCAAUAACCAAUAGCGGAACCUGGAUGCUCAUAUUGGCUCCUACAUAUUCUACGAAGAUCUUUAUCGGUCAGACCGCAUAACAACAUACGUUGUUCCCUUUGUCAUCGAUAUGUUACUUGCCCGAGAUUCGAUCGUCGGUAUCUCAAUACCUAGUUCAAUCUCGUUACUGGCACGUCUCUUUACUCGUUCCGUAAUACAUCAUCUUGCAAAUAACUCAUUAGUUGCAAUGCUUGCAAGGCUUAUGUGAUGUGUAUUACUGAGAGGGCCCAGAGAUACCUCUCUGACAAUCGGAGUGACAAAUCCUAAUCUCGAAAUACGCCAACCCAACAUGUACCUUUGGAUACACAUGUAGAGUACCUUUAUAAUCACCCAUUUACGUUGUGACGUUUGGUAGCACACAAAGUGUUCCUCUGGCAAACGGGAGUUGCAUAAUCUCAUAGUCAUAGGAACAUGUAUGAGUCAUGAAGAAAGCAAUAGCAACAUACUAAACGAUCGGGUGCUAAGCUAAUGGAAUGGGUCAUGUCAAUCAGAUCAUUCACCUAAUGAUGUGAUCCCGUUAAUCAAAUAACAACUCUUUGUCCAUGGUUAGGAAACAUAACCAUCUUUGAUUAACGAGCUAGUCAAGUAGAGGCAUACUAGUGACACUGUGUUUGUCUAUGUAUUCACACAUGUAUUAUGUUUCCGGUUAAUACAAUUCUAGCAUGAAUAAUAAACAUUUAUCAUGAUAUAAGGAAAUAAAUAAUAACUUUAUUAUUGCCUCUAGGGCAUAUUUCCUUCAUCUAUUUAGUUAAUUCUUUUUGCAGAUGAUUAAUAGAUAAAUUCCUCACGUCCAGAAAUUUAUUUUAGAAUUUUUGGGGUUACAGAUCUUGCGCUAGCUACAGAUUACUACAGACUAUUCUGUUUUUGACAGAUUCUGUUUUUCGUGUGUUGUUUGCUUAUUUUGAUGAAUCUAUGGCUAGUAAAAUAGUUUAUAAUACAUAGAGAAGUUGUAAUACAGUAGGUUUAACACCCAUAUAAAUAAAUAAUGAGUUCAUUACAGUACCUUGAAGUGGUCUUUUGUUUUCUUUCGCUAACGGAGCUCACGAGUUUUCUAUUUUGAGUUUUGUGUUGUGAAGUUUUCAUGUUUUGGGUGAAUUCUUUUGAUGGAUCAUGGAACAAGGAGUGGCAAGAGCCUAAGCUUGGGGAUACCCAUGGCACCCCCAAGAUAAUCUAAGGACACCAAAAAGUUAAAGCUUGGGGAUGCCCCGGAAGGCAUCCCCUCUUUUCGUCCACUUCCAUCGGUAAUUUACUUGGAGCUAUAUUUUUAUUCACCAACAUGAUAUGUGUUUUGCUUGGAGCGUCUUGUAUUAUUUGUGUCUUUGUUUGCUAGUAUACCACAAUCAUACUUGCUGUACACACCUUUUGAGAGAGCCAUACAUGAAUUAAAAUUUGAUAGAAUACUCUAUGUGCUUCACUUAUAUCUUUUGAGCUAGAUAACUUUGCUCUAUGUGCUUCACUUAUAUCUUUUGAGCUAGAUAAUUUUGCUCUAUGUGCUUCACUUAUAUCUUUUGAGUUAGAUAAUUUUGCUCUAUGUGCUUCACUUAGAUCUUUUAGAGCAUGGUGGUGGAUUCGUUUUAAAGAAACUAUUGAUCUCUCAUGCUUCACUUAAAUUAAUUUGAGAGUCUCUUAAUAGCAUGGUAAUUUGCCUAAUGAUGAUCUGCUUGGUAUUCAAGAUUUGCGAAACUUUCUUUUGAGUGUGUUGAAUACUAAGAAAAGAUUGAAGCAUGAUAAUUGUUUUGAGAUAUGGAGGUUAUAAUAUUAAAGCCAUGCUAGUUGACUAGUUGUGAAUUUAAAGAAUACUUGUGUUGAAGUUUGUGAUUCCCGUAGCAUACACCUACCAUAUACCUUCCUCAAAACAGCAACCAUACCUACCUAUUAUGGCAUUUCCAUAGCCAUUCCGAGAUAUAUUGCCAUGCAACUUUCCACCAUCUAGUUCAUCAUGACACAUUCAUCAUUGUCAUAUUGCAUAUCCCGGUACACCGCCGGAUGCAUUCACAUAGAUUCAUAUUUUGUUCUAAGUAUCGAGUUGUAAUUGUUGAGUUGUAAGAAAAAUAAAAGUGUGAUGAUCAUCAUUAUUAGAGCAUUGUCCCAAUGAGGAAAGAAUGAUGGAGACUAUGAUUCCCCCACAAGUCGGGAUGAGACUCCGGACGAAAAAAAAAAGAGAGGCCAAAGAAGCCCAAAUAAAAAAAAGGAGAAAGGCCAUAUAAAAAUAUAAAAAAAUGAGAGAAAAAGAGAGAAGGGACAAUGUUACUAUCCUUUUACCACACUUGUGCUUCAAAGUAGCACCAUGAUCUUCAUAGUAGAGAGUCUCUCAUGUUAUCACUUUCAUAUACUAGUGGGAAUCUUUCAUUUUAGAACUUGGCUUGUAUAUUCCAAUGAUGGGCUUCCUCAAAUUGCCCUAGGUCUUCGUGAGCAAGCAAGUUGGAUGCACACCCACUAGUUUCUUUUGUUGAGCUUUCAUAUAUUUAUAGCUCUAGUGCAUCCGUUGCAUGGCAAUCCCUACUCACUCACAUUGAUAUCUAUUAAUGGGCAUCUCCAUAGCCCGUUGAUACGCCUAGUUGAUGUGAGACUAUCUUCUCCCUUUUUGUCUUCUCCACAACCACUAUUCUAUUCCACCUAUAGUGCUAUAUCCAUGGCUCAUGCUCAUGUAUUGCAUGAAGAUUGAAAAAGUUUUGAAAAAGUUAAGAGUAUGAAACAAUUGCUUGGCUUGUCAUCGGGGUUGUGCAUGAUUUAAAUACUUUGUGUGGGGAAGAUGGAGCAUAGCCAGACUAUAUGAUUUUGUAGGGAUAACUUUCUUUAGCCAUGUUAUUUUGAGAAGACAUAAUUGCUUUGUUAGUAUGCUUGAAGUAUUAUUAUUUUCUAUGUCAAUAUAAACCUUUGUCUUGAAUCUUUCUAAUCUGAAUAUUCAUACCACAAUUAAGAAGAUUUGCAUUGAAAUUAUGCCAAGUAGCACUCCGCAUCAAAAAUUCUCUUUUUAUCAUUUACCUACUCGAGGACGAGCAGGAAUUAAGCUUGGGGAUGUCUGAUACGUCUCCAACGUAUCUAUAAUUUUUUAUUGCUCCAUGCUAUAUUAUCUACUGUUUUGGACUAUAUUGGGCUUUAUUUUUCACUUUUAUAUUAUUUUUGGGACUAACCUAUUAACCGGAGGCCCAGCCCAGAAUUGCUAUUUUUUACCUAUUUCAGUGUUUCAAAGAAACGGAAUAUCAAACGGAGUCCAAAAGGAAUAAAAUCUUCGGGAACGUGAUUUUCUCACCGAACGUGAUCCAGGAGACUUGGACCCUGCUCCAAGGAACAAAAGAGGCGGUCACGAGGGUGGGGGCGCCCCUCCCCCCUAGGGCGCGCCCCCUGCCUCGUGGGCCCCUCGUUGCUCCUCCGGCGUGCUUCUUCCUCCUAUAUAUACACACGUACCCCCAAACGAUCAAAACAGGAGCCAAAAACAUAAUUCCACCGCCACAACUUUCUGUAUCCAUGAGAUCCCAUCUUGGGGCCUGUUCCGGAGCUCCGCUGGAAGAGGGCCGUCAUCACGGAGGGCUUCUACAUCAUCAUAGCCUCUCCGAUGAAGUGUGAGUAGUUUACUUCAGACCUUCAGGUCCAUAGUUAGUAGCUAGAUGGCUUCUUCUCUCUCUUUGAAUCUCAAUACAAAGUUCUCCCCCUCUCUCGUGGAGAUCUAUUCGAUGUAAUCUUCUUUUUGCGGUGUGUUUGUUGAGACCAAUGAAUUGUGGAUUUAUGAUCAAGUCUAUCUAUGAAUAAUAUUUGAAUCUUCUCAGAAUUCUUUUAUGCAUGAUUGGUUAUCUUUGCAAGUCUCUUCGAAUUAUCCGUUUGGUUUGGCCAACUAGAUUGGUAGUUCUUGCCAUGGGAGAAGUGCUUAGCUUUGGGUUCGAUCUUGCGGUGUCCUUACCCAGUGACAGAAUGGGCAGCAAGGCACGUAUUGUAUCGUUGCCAUCGAGGAUAACAAGAUGGGAUUUAUUUCAUAUUGCAUGAAUUUAUCUCUCUACAUCAUGUCAUCUUGCUUAAGGCGUUACUCUGUUUUUAACUUAAUACUCUAGAUGCAUGCUGGAUAGCGGUCGAUGAGUGGAGUAAUAGUAGUAGAUGCAGAAUCGUUUCGAUCUACUUGUCACGGACGUGAUGCCUAUAUACAUGAUCAUGCUUAGAUAUUCUCAUAUUUAUGCACAAUUCUAUAAAUUGCUCAAUAGUAAUUUGUUCAUCCACCGUAGAAUACUUAUGCUCUUGAGAGAAGCCACUAGUGAAACCUAUGGCCCCCGGGUCUAUUCUCAUCAUAUCAAUCUCCAUCACUUUUAUAUUGUUUUGCUAUUUACUUUGCCUUUACUUUUUACUUUGCAUCUUUAUAUCAAAAAUACCAAAAAUAUUCUAUCUAUCAGAUAUCACUUUCGUAAGUGACCGUGAAGGGCUUGACAACCCCUAAUCGCGUUGGUUGCGAGUAGCUAUCGCUUUGUGCAGGUACGAGGGACUUGAGCGUGGGCUCCUACUAGAUUGAUACCUUGGUUCUCAAAAACUGAGGGAAAUACUUACGCUACUCUGCUGCAUCAUCCCUUCCUCUUCGCAGAAAACCUACGCAAGCUCAAGACGCAGCACGACUCGACAAGGACAAGGGAGCAGCCCGCCAACAGAGGAAGACCGUGCUCCAUCACCUCCAUUAGGCGAACCAAAACUGGACCCCCAUCCGUCUCUACCCCCGAAGAAGGCACCCCUGCCUUCCGUCCUGGAUCGGAGGACACCACGCUGUCGACAAGCAGACCCACUCACCCCGAGUGGAAGGAACAAUAGGUUGUCAAGGAAAGACUGAGAGCACAGCUACCUCACCGAGCAAGCGACACCCCAUACUUCGACACGGCCGUCGGCAACUUCGUCGAGGUACCAACAUAACCGGCUCAUCUUUUUCGUAGGCGAUAUUAAAUGCGUAGACCUCUUUUUAUUCGCAUCAUGAAGCUUGCAAGCAAAAUUGUAGUUUUUUCACUCGCCGGAGGAAUGCCGCCGGUUUGCUUGGGUUUAGUGCAUAUGAAAAAAUCAGCGGCGAUGAGAGUGAUUGCAUAUGGCAUUCCCGCUGACUAUACCUUUGAGUAUUUUUCGCAUUGGAGAAGAUACCGCCAUCAAAUGCGUGCGGGUGUUUGCGAAAACAAUGAUCCGGGUUUUUGGCCCGGAGUAUCUUUGAGCUCCAAACGAGGAGGACACAAAGAAGUUGAUGGCGAUGAAUGAAGGGGUGGCCAUGUAUGCUUGGGAGUAUUGAUUGCAUGCAUUAGAGGUGGAAGAACUGCCCAGUGAUUUGGGCAGGGUAGUACAUGUUGGGUUUCGUAGUAAUUUCAAAAAAAUUCCUACGCACACGCAAGAUCAUGUGAUGCAUAGCAACGAGAGGGGAGAGUGUCGUCUACGUACCCACGCAGACCGACUGCGGAAGCGUUGACACAACGUAGAGGAAGUAGUCGCACGUCUUCACGAUCCAACCGAUCAAGCACCGAAACUACGGCACCUCCGAGUUCGAGCACACGUUCAGCUCGAUGACGAUCCCCGGACUCCGAUCCAGCAAAGUGUCGGGGAAGAGUUCCGUCAGCACAAUGGCGUGGUGACGAUCUUGAUGUACUACAGCAGCAGGGCUUCGCCUAAACUCCGCUACAGUAUUAUCGAGGACUAUGGUGGCUGGGGGCACCGCACACGGCUAAGGAAUAGAUCACCUGGAUCAACUUGUGUGUUUCUGGGGUACCCCUGCCUCCGUAUAUAAAGGACUAGAAGGGGGGAGGCUGGCCGGCCAAGUGUGGCGCGCCAGGAGAGUCCUACUCCCUCUGGGAGUAGGAUUCCCCCCCCCCCCAAUCCUAGUUGGAAUAGGACUCCUUGAGGGUGGGAAAGAGAGAGGGGGAGCCGGCCACCUCUCCUAGUCCUAAUAGGACUAGGGGAAGGGGGGAGGCGCACAGCCACCUUGGGCUGCCCCUUUCUCCUUUCCACUAAAGCCCACUAAGGCCCAUAUAGCUCCCGGGGGGUUCCGGUAACCUCCCAGUACUCCGGUAAAAUCCCGAUUUCACCCGGAACACUUCCGAUGUCCAAAUAUAGGCUUCCAAUAUAUCAAUCUUUAUUUCUCAACCAUUUCGAGACUCCUCGUCAUGUCCGUGAUCACAUCCGGGACUCCGAACAACCUUCGGUACAUCAAAAUGCAUAAACUCAUAAUAUAACUGUCAUCGUAACCUUAAGCGUGCGGACCCUACGUGUUCGAGAACAAUGUAGACAUGACCGAGACACGUCUCCGGUCAAUAACCAAUAGCGGGACCUGGAUGCCCAUAUUGGCUCCUACAUAUUCUACAAAGAUCUUUAUCGGUCAGACCGCAUAACAACAUACGUUGUUCCCUUUGUCAUCGGUAUGUUACUUGCCCGAGAUUCGAUCGUCAGUAUCCAAUACCUAGUUCAAUCUCGUUACCGGUAAGUCUCUUUACUCGUUCUGUAAUACAUCAUCCCGCAACUUAACUCAUUAGUUGCAAUGCUUGCAAGGCUUAUGUGAUGUGCAUUACCGAGAGGGCCCAGAGAUACCUCUCCGACAAUCGGAGUGACAAAACCUAAUCUUGAAAUACGCCAACCCAACAUGAACCUUUGGAGACACCUGUAGUACUCCUUUAUAAUCACCCAGUUACGUUGUGACGUUUGGUAGUACCCAAAGUGUUCCUACGGUAAACGGGAGUUGCAUAAUCUCAUAGUUAUAGGAACAUGUAUAAGUCAUGAAGAAAGCAAUAGCAACAUACUAAACGAUCGGAUGCUAAGCUAAUGGAAUGGGUCAUGUCAAUCAGAUCAUUCUCUUAAUGAUGUGAUCCUGUUAAUCAAAUAACAACUCAUUGUUCAUGGUUAGGAAACAUAACCAUCUUUGAUUAACAAGCUAGUCAAGUAGAGGCAUACUAGUGACACUUUGUUUGUCUAUGUAUUCACACAUGUAUUAUGUUUCUGGUUAAUACAAUUCUAGCAUGAAUAAUAAACCUUUAUCAUGAUUAUAAGGAAAUAAAUAAUAACUUUAUUAUUGCCUCUAGGGCAUAUUUCCUUCAGUCUCCCACUUGCACUAGAGUCAAUAAUCUAGAUUACACCGUAAUGAUUCUAACACCCAUGGAGCCUUGGUGCUGAUCAUGUUUUGCUCGUCGUAGAGGCUUAGUCAACGGGUCUGCAAUAUUCAGAUCCGUAUGUAUCUUGCAAAUCUCUAUGUCUCCCACUUGGACUAGAUCCCGGAUGGAAUUGAAGCGUCUCUUGAUGUGCUUGGUUCUCUUGUGAAAUCUGGAUUCCUUUGCCAAAGCAAUUGCAUCAGUAUUGUCACAAAAGAUUUUCAUUGGACCCGAUGCACUAGGUAUGACACCUAGAUCGGAUAUGAACUCCUUCAUCCAGACUCCUUCGUUCGCUGCUUCCGAAGCAGCUAUGUACUCCGCUUCACAUGUAGAUCCCUCUACGACGCUUUGUUUAGAACUGAACCAACUAACAGCUCCACCGUUUAAUGUAAACACGUAUCCGGUUUGCGAUUUAGAAUCGUCCGGAUCAGUGUCAAAGCUUGCAUCAACGUAACCAUUUAUGACGAGCUCUUUGUCACCUCCAUAUAUGAGAAACAUAUCCUUAGUCCUUUUCAGGUAUUUCAGGAUGUUCUUGGCCGCUGUCCAGUGAUCCACUCCUGGAUUACUUUGGUACCUCCCUGCUAGACUUAUAGCAAGGCACACAUCGGGUCUGGUACACAGCAUUGCAUACAUGAUAGAUCCUACGGCUGAUGCAUAAGGAACAUCUUUCAUAUUCUCUCUAUCUUCUGCAGUGGUCGGGCAUUGAGUCUUACUCAACUUCACACCUUGUAACACAGGCAAGAAUCCUUUCUUUGCUUGAUCCAUUUUGAACUUCUUCAAAAUCUUGUCAAGGUAUGUGCUUUGUGAAAGUCCAAUUAAGCGUCUUGAUCUAUCUCUAUAGAUCUUGAUGCCUAAUAUGUAAGCAGCUUCACCGAGGUCCUUCAUUGAAAAACUCUUAUUCAAGUAUCCCUUUAUGCUAUCCAGAAAUUCUAUAUCAUUUCCAAUUAGUAAUAUGUCAUCCACAUAUAAUAUCAGAAAUGCUACAGAGCUCCCACUCACUUUCUUGUAAAUACAGGCUUCUCCGAAAGUCUGUAUAAAACCAAAUGCUUUGAUCACACUAUCAAAGCGUUUAUUCCAACUCCGAGAGGCUUGCACCAGUCCAUAAAUGGAUCGCUGGAGCUUGCACAGUUUGUUAGCUCCCUUUGGAUCGACAAAACCUUCUGGUUGCAUCAUAUACAACUCUUCUUCCAGAAAUCCAUUCAGGAAUGCAGUUUUGACAUCCAUCUGCCAAAUUUCAUAAUCAUAAAAUGCGGCAAUUGCUAACAUGAUUCGGACAGACUUAAGCAUUGCUACGGGUGAGAAGGUCUCAUCGUAGUCAACCCCUGGAACUUGUCGAAAACCUUUUGCGACAAGUCGAGCUUUGUAGACAGUAAUAUUACCGUCAGCGUCAGUCUUUUUCUUGAAGAUCCAUUUAUUCUCAAUUGCUUGCCGAUCAUCGGGCAAGUCAACCAAAGUCCAUACUUUGUUCUCAUACAUGGAUCCCAUCUCAGAUUUCAUGGCUUCAAGCCAUUUUGCGGAAUCUGGGCUCACCAUCGCUUCUUCAUAGUUCGUAGGUUCAUCAUGAUCUAGUAGCAUGACUUCCAGAACAGGAUUACCGUACCACUCUAGCGCGGAUCUCACUCUGGUUGAUCUACGAGGUUCAGUAGUAUCUUGAUCUGAAGUUUCAUGAUCAUUAUCAUUAGCUUCCUCACUAACUGCUGUAGGUGUCACUGGAACAGUUUUCUGUGAUGUACUACUUUCCAGUAAGGGAGCAGGUACAGUUACCUCGUCAAGUUCUACUUUCCUCCCACUCACUUCUUUCGAGAGAAACUCCUUCUCCAGAAAGUUUCCGAAUUUAGCAACAAAAGUCGUGCCUUCGGAUCUGUGAUAGAAGGUGUAUCCAAUAGUUUCCUUUGGAUAUCCUAUGAAGACACAUUUCUCCGAUUUGGGUUCGAGCUUAUCAGGUUGAAGCUUUUUCACAUAAGCAUCGCAGCCCCAAACUUUCAGAAAUGACAACUUUGGUUUCUUGCCAAACCACAGUUCAUAAGGCGUCGUCUCAACGGAUUUUGAUGGUGCCCUAUUUAACGUGAAUGCGGCCGUCUCUAGAGCGUAUCCCCAAAACGAUAGCGGUAAAUCAGUAAGAGACAUCAUAGAUCGUACCAUAUCUAGUAAAGUACGAUUACGACGUUCGGACACACCAUUACGCUGUGGUGUUCCGGGUGGCGUGAGUUGCGAAACUAUUCCACAAUUUUUCAAAUGUACACCAAACUCGUAACUCAAAUAUUCUCCUCCACGAUCAGAUCGUAGAAACUUUAUUUUCUUGUUACGAUGAUUUUCAACUUCACUCUGAAAUUCCUUGAAAUUUUCAAAUGUUUCAGACUUAUGUUUCAUUAAGUAGAUAUACCCAUAUCUACUUAAAUCAUCUGUGAAGGUGAGAAAAUAACGAUAUCCGCCACGAGCCUCAAUAUUCAUCGGACCACAUACAUCUGUAUGUAUGAUUUCCAACAAAUCUGUUGCUCUCUCCAUAGUACCGGAGAACGGUGUUUUGGUCAUCUUGCCCAUGAGGCACGGUUCGCAAGUACCAAGUGAUUCAUAAUCAAGUGGUUCCAAAAGUCCAUCAGAAUGGAGUUUCUUCAUGCGCUUUACACCGAUAUGACCUAAACGGCAGUGCCACAAAUAAGUUGCACUCUCAUUAUCAACUCUACAUCUUUUGGCUUCAACAUUAUGAAUAUGUGUGUUACUACUAUCGAGAUUCAACAAGAAUAGACCACUCUUCAAGGGUGCAUGACCAUAAAAGAUAUUACUCAUAUAAAUAGAACAACCAUUAUUCUCUGAUUUAAAUGAAUAACCGUCUCGCAUCAAACAAGAUCCAAAUAUAAUGUUCAUGCUCAACGCUGGCACCAAAUAACAAUUAUUUAGGUCUAAUACUAAUCCCGAAGGUAGAUGUAGAGGUAGCGUGCUGACUGCGAUCACAUCGACUUUGGAACCGUUUCCCACGCGCAUCGUUACCUCGUCCUUAACCAAUCUUCGCUUGAUCCAUAGUCCCUGUUUCGAGUUGCAAAUAUUAGCAACAGAACCAGUAUCAAAUACCAGGUGCUACUGCGAGCAUUAGUAAGGUACACAUCAAUAACAUGUAUAUCACAUAUACCUUUGUUCACCUUGCCAUCCUUCUUAUCCGCCAAAUACUUGGGGCAGUUCCGCUUCCAGUGACCAGUCUGCUUGCAAUAGAAGCACUUAGUUUCAGGCUUAGGUCCAGGUUUGGGUUUCUUCUCUUGAGUAGCAACUUGCUUGCCGUUCUUUUUGAAGUUCCCCUUCUUCUUCCCUUUGCCCUUUUUCUUGAAACUAGUGGUCUUGUUGACCAUCAACACUUGAUGCUUCUUCUUGAUUUCUACCUCCGCAGCUUUCAGCAUCGCGAAGAGCUCGGGAAUAGUCUUGUUCAUCCCUUGCAUAUUAUAGUUCAUCACGAAGCUCUUGUAGCUUGGUGGCAGUGAUUGAAGAAUUCUGUCAAUGACGCAAUCAUCUGGGAGAUUAAGUCCCAAUUGAAUCAAGUGAUUAUUAUACCCAGACAUUUUGAGUAUAUGCUCACUGACAGAACUGUUCUCCUCCAUCUUGCAGCUAUAGAACUUAUUGGAGACUUCAUAUCUCUCAAUCCGGGCAUUUGCUGAAAAUAUUAACUUCAACUCCUGAAACAUCUCAUAUGCUCCAUGACGUUCAAAACGUCGUUGAAGUCCCGAUUCUAAGCCGUAAAGCAUGGCACACUGAACUAUCGAGUAGUCAUCAGCUUUGCUCUGCCAGACGUUCAUAACAUCCAGCGUUGCUCCUGCAGCAGGCCUGGCACCCAGCGGUGCUUCCAGGAUGUAAUUCUUCUGUGCAGCAAUGAGGAUAAUCCUCAAGUUACGGACCCAGUCCGUGUAAUUGCUACCAUCAUCUUUCAACUUUGCUUUCUCAAGGAACGCAUUAAAAUUCAACGGAACAACAGCACGAGCCAUCUAUCUACAAUCAAACAUAAACAAGCAAGAUACUAAUCAGGUACUAAGUUUCAUGAUAAAUUUAAGUGCAGUUAAUCAAAUUUAAUUAAAGAACUCCCACUUAGAUAGACAUCCCUCUAAUCCUCUAAGUGAUUACGUGAUCCAAAUCAACUAAACCAUAACCGAUCAUCACGUGAGAUGGAGUAGUUUUCAAUGGUGAACAUUGUUAUGUUGAUCAUAUCUACUAUAUGAUUCAUGCUCGACCUUUCGGUCUCCGUGUUCCGAGGCCAUAUCUGUAUAUGCUUGGCUCGUCAAGUAUAACCUGAGUAUUCCACGUGUGCAACUGUUUUGCACCCGUUGUAUUUGAACGUAGAACCUAUCACACCCGAUCAUCACGUGGUGUCUCAGCACGAAGAACUUUCGCAACGGUGCAUACUCAGGGAGAACACUUCUUGAUAAUUUAGUGAGAGAUCAUCUUAUAAUGCUACCAUCAAUCAAAGCAAGAUAAGAUGCAUAAAAGGAUAAACAUCACAUGCAAUCAAUAUAAGUGAUAUGAUAUGGCCAUCAUCAUCUUGUGCUUGUGAUCUCCAUCUUCGAAGCACCUUCGUGAUCACCAUCGUCACCCGCGUGACACCUUGAUCUCCAUCGUAGCAUCGUUGUCGUCUCGCCAAGCUUGUGCUUCUACGACUAUCGCUACCGCUUAGUGAUAAAAGUAAAGAAUUACAUCGCGAUUGCAUUGCAUACAAUAAAACGAGAACCAUAAGGCUCCUGCCAGUUGCCGAUAACUCGGUUACAAAACAUGAUCAUCUCAUACAAUAAAAUUCAGCAUCAUGUCUUGACCAUAUCACAUCACAACAUGCCCUGCAAAAACAAGUUAGACGUCCUCUACUUUGUUGUUGCAAGUUUUACGUGGCUGCUACGGGCUUAAGCAAGAACCAAUCUCACCUACGCAUCAAAACCACAACGAUAGUUUGUCAAAUAGACUCCAUUUUAACCUUCGCAAGGACCGGGCGUAGCCAUACUUGGUUCAACUAAAGUUGGAGAGACAGUCGCCCGCAAGCCACCUAUGUGCAAAGCACAUCGGGGGAACCGGUCUCGCAUAAGCGUACGCGUAAUGUUGGUCCGGGUCGUCUCGUCCAACAAUGCCGCCGAACCAAAGUAUGACAUGCUGGUAGGCAGUAUGACUUAUAUCGCCCACAACUCACUUGUGUUCUACUCGUGCAUAUAACAUCAACAUAAAUAACCUAGGCUCGGAUGCCACUGUUGGGUUUCGUAGUAAUUUCAAAAAAAAUCCUACGCACACGCAAGAUCAUGUGAUGCAUAGCAACGAGAGGGGAGAGUGUCAUCUACGUACCCACGCAGACCGACUGCGGAAGCGUUGACACAACGUAGAGGAAGUAGUCGUAUGUCUUCACGAUCCAACUGAUCAAGCACCGAAACUACGGCACCUCCGAGUUCGAGCACACGUUCAGCUCGAUGACGAUCCCCGGACUCCGAUCCAGCAAAGUGUCGGGGAAGAGUCAGCACGAUGGCGUGGUGACGAUCUUGAUGUACUACAGCAGCAGGGCUUCGCCUAAACUCCGCUACAGUAUUAUCGAGGACUAUGGUGGCUGGGGGCACCGCACACGGCUAAGGAAUAGAUCACCUGGAUCAACUUGUGUGUUUCUGGGGUGCCCCUGCCUUCGUAUAUAAAGGACUAGAAGGGGGGAGGCUGGCCGGCAAAGUGUGGCGCGCCAGGGGAGUCCUACUCCCUCUGGGAGUAGGAUUCCCCGCCCCCCCAAUCCUAGUUGGAAUAGGACUCCUUGAGGGUGGGAAAGAGAGAGAGGGGGCCGACCACCUCUCCAAGUCCUAAUAGGACUAGGGGAAGGGGGGAGGCGCACAGCCACCUUGGGCUGCCCCUUUCUCCUUUCCACUAAAGCCCACUAAGGCCCAUAUAGCUCCCGGGGGGUUCCGGUAACCUCCCGGUACUCCGGUAAAAUCCCGAUUUCACCCGGAACACUUCCGAUGUCCAAAUAUAGGCUUCCAAUAUAUCAAUCUUUAUGUCUCGACCAUUUCGAGACUCCUCGUCAUGUUCGUGAUCAAAUCCGGGACUCCGAACAACCUUCGGUACAUCAAAAUGCAUAAACUCAUAAUAUAACUGUCAUCGUAACCUUAAGCGUGCGGACCCUACGGGUUCGAGAACAAUGUAGACAUGACCGAGACACGUCUCCGGUCAAUAACCAAUAGCGGGACCUGGAUGCCCAUAUUGGCUCCUACAUAUUCUACGAAGAUCUUUACCGGUCAGAUCGCAUAACAACAUACGUUGUUCCCUUUGUCAUCAGUAUGUUACUUGCCCGAGAUUCGAUCGUCGGUAUCCAAUACCUAGUUCAAUCUCGUUACCGGCAAGUCCCUUUACUCGUUCUGUAAUACAUCAUCCCGCAACUUAACUCAUUAGUUGCAAUGCUUGCAAGGCUUAUGUGAUGUGCAUUACCGAGUGGGCCCAGAGAUACCUCUCCGACAAUCAGAGUGACAAAACCUAAUCUCGAAAUAUGCCAACCCAACAUGUACCUUUGGAGACACCUGUAGUACUCCUUUAUAAUCACCCAGUUACGUUGUGACGUUUGGUAGUACCCAAAGUGUUCCUCCGGUAAACGGGAGUUGCAUAAUCUCAUAGUUAUAGGAACAUGUAUAAGUCAUGAAGAAAGCAAUAGCAACAUACUAAACGAUCGGGUGCUAAGCUAAUGGAAUGGGUCAUGUCAAUCAGAUCAUUCUCUUAAUGAUGUGAUCCCGUUAAUCAAAUAACAACUCAUUGUUCAUGGUUAGGAAACAUAACCAUCUUUGAUUAACAAGCUAGUCAAGUAGAGGCAUACUAGUGACACUUUGUUUGUCUAUGUAUUCACACAUGUAUUAUGUUUCCGGUUAAUAUAAUUCUAGCAUGAAUAAUAAACCUUUAUCAUGAUUAUAAGGAAAUAAAUAAUAAUUUUAUUAUUGCCUCUAGGGCAUAUUUCCUUCAGUACACUGGCCACAAACAUAAACCUACCAUUGUGCUUGAAGCUAUGGCUUCAAGCAAUUUAUAGAUUUGGCAUUACUUCUUUGGUUUGCCGGGGUGUCUCAAUGAUAUCAAUGUCUUACAUCGAUCUCAUCUUUUUGCUCGACUAGCUAGUGGAAAAUCUCCAACUUGCAACUAUCCCGUCAAUGGCCAUGACUAUAUCAUGGGGUACUAUCUCGUCGACGGUAUUUAGCCUACAUGGUCAAUAUUCGUGAAGACCAUUAGUAACUCUAAAACCAAGAAGCACAUUUUUCGCCAAAGCACAAGAAGCAUGCUCAAAAGAUAUUGAGAGGGAAUUUGGUGUGUUGCAAGCUUGGUUUGCAAUUGUCUGAAGUUCCGCUCACUUCUGGGAUAAGAAAUCUCCCCGAAACAUCAGGACUGCAUGUGUAAGUUUACGCAACAUGCUCAUCGAGGAUGAGAGGAAUUUGAAAUUAGAAUUUUAUUAUGAUAAUGUUGGUAGCCGUGUGAAGCCUGCCAGGGAUGCAUAUGAGAUCGAUGCAUUUUUUGGCACCUAUCAAAAGAUUGGGAACAAUGCUUCACACUACUAGCUCCGUGAUGAUCGUGUUGACUAUUAGUGGCAACUCUAUGAGAGAUGGACUCCCAUUUUAAUUUAAUUAAUUUCAUAUGUCUUUGUGUGUGAUUGGAAUAAAUUUUGUUCUUGUAUUAAUUAUUCAAAUUUGAACAUUCAUGUUUAUAUGUUUAGUUUGUAUUAUGAUUCUAUUAGGUUUAUAUUGUUGAAAAUCAAGAAUUUGCAAAGCUCCCAAAAAUUUGCGGUACCGCGAGGCCUCCGGCGCGGAACAGAUCCUGUAAACUCGUCCCGCAAAUGUUUUGUGGGACGGAUUUACCGGAUCUGCUCCACCCUAGGCCUCGCGGAACCGCAACUUUUUUUUACAGUCGGCCCUUAAACGAUAUUUGUGGGACGAGGUUUUACCGGAUCUGUUCCACCGUAGGCCUCGUGGUACCGUAAUAUUUUUCACAGUCGGCCCUUAAACUAUAUUUGUAGGAAGAGGUUUUAUCGGAUCUGUUCCACUGUAGGCCUUGCGGUACCGCAAUAUUUUUUACAGUCGGCCCUUAAAUGAUAUUUGCCGAACACGGUUUUGCCCGGAUCUGCUAGAGAUGCUCUUAAACUAUUACCAAUUGGAUCCCGCAAAAAAAAACCAUUCCCAAUUGUGUGAUGUCCCUUUUGUAGAAAAAGAAGCACUAAUUUAUCUCCUGACAAGAAAAAUUAAUUGUUCGGUUGGUUGUGAAGAUACUUGUUAAAGAACUUUAGAAGAAAAUACACGGUAGCAAAAUGUUUCAAAGAAUAUUGUGCUUUAGAGUAGUCAUACACCAGCCUCAACCCCAUGUUGAGAAUGAUGUAAACAUUAUAAAGAUAAUUAAUAUUGGGUUUGUUCUUUCAUGCUAUUUCAAAAACUGACGUGGGUGUGACUCUCAAUGACUCAUAAUUGUUUCACAAUGGCUCGAUGUUUGUAAACCCGUCCUGGAUUUGAACUCUAAAGACUUAUAAAUUGAGUUGUUUUUCAUGCACUGAGUUCAGAUGUCAUUCCAACUUGAAGAUUGUUACUCCCUCCGUCCCAUAAUAUAAGAUCAUUUUUGACACUAUCAUAAUGUCAAACAUGAUGUUAUAUUAUAGGACAUAGGGAGUACUUCGUUAGAUCGGCUUUCAAGGAACAGUCGAUGUCGUGUACUCCAUCUUACCACGACAAGUAUUUUGGAACAGAGGGAGAGUAUUUAUUUCUUGCCGGAAGAAUCUAAAUGAUUUUAGACAACAAUGCGGGAUACGACUCUUUGUACGCUAGCAGCAUGCAAGUCGCUCAAAUUAUAGAUCAGGAAGAGGGGCAUCAAGGGGGUCCAGUUAGACACUCUCUGAGAUCCAAAUCUGAAUCCAUAAUGUCCUUUUUAUCAGAUAUGCUUGCCCAUACGCACCCAUCACAGAUGGAGAAGCAUAUCUGCAUAUGGACAUUGUUUAGCCACAAGUCUGUCUGCGGUAAAUUCAGGUUUCAUUCUUCACGUGUGUGUUAAUCAGAAAAUAUAGUUAGAACAUGAUGGGUUUAUCUGAGUCAAAUUGACUUGUUUUAUGGUUGUUUAACAUACACAUCAUUAUUAUCAGUAUUUGUUCCGUCUGAAGAAAACAAAUGAUUUGGUCAAACUGUCUGUUCAAGUGUCCAUGACUGAGUUUUUUUUUCUAAACCACCACAUAUAUUAAUUACGACGCCGCUAACUGCCACACGUGUGGCAUAUACGACAUGCGCCCACACACCAUGUGUGGUGUGAGUAGGAGGCAGCCCACACGGGCUGUGUGUGGGCGGAUAUUGGAAUUGCCCACACGUGUGGGCGCGGCUACUUCGUGCCACACACCCAACAAAUACUACUCAUCUUCACCUCGUGCGUGUGGCACGAAGCAAAAAUGCCCACACGUCCUGACGCAGCUACGUUAGAUACCCCGCGGAAUGACUAUUUAAUUGCCAUCCUGGUUGGCAGAUGUAGUUAUUCGGAAUGGCAAGUGUAGUUGUAAAAGCAUGACAACUCUAUCUGUUUUGGUUAAUUAUAGUUGCCAUGUCUAAUUUAUGGUAGUUGCCGCGUGUAAUCAAACCGUAGUUGCCGUGUGUGAUUAACUACUUGCCACAUAUGGUCAAAACAGUAGUUGCCAUGUGUGUUUACCUAGUUGUCACGUGUGGUCCAACCAUAGUUGACAUGUAUUGUUAAUCACAGUUGCCAUGUGUGUUUAUCUGGUUGCCACGUACGCGCAACUGCAGUUGCCGUGUAGCAAAGAAUCACAGUUGCCAUGUGUGUGUACCGAGUUGCCACGUUCGCGUAACUGCAGUUGCCGUGUAGCAGAGAAUCACAGUUGCCGUGUGUGUGUACCGAGUUGCCACGUUCGCGUAACUGCAGUUGCCGUCCACAACAUAGGAGUGUCGUGUGGGCGAAAAGCAGUUCGCCCACACGCGCAUGACCUAGGUGGUGGCUGUGUGGGCAGAAACUAGUUCGCCCACACAACGCAGCUGACAAACAGCGUGGUGCGGGCGUGUGGGCAAACUUUCCAACGCCCACACACCAGCCCCAUCCUACGUGGCAUAAAAAUCAACCUUUUCGUGCCAAGAUUCGUGCAAAAGGCACUGGACGACGAUCCAGGCGUGUGGGCGAGUUGGGGAACGCCCACACAUGUGGGCGUUAGACUUUUCGAUUAAUUAACCUGUCAAACAUGGUAUGCUGUCACGUAUAAUGUAUGGUGUACCUACACCUGAACCGGCGCACCUGGAUGUAGUUAGGAUAGAUAGAGAUAGGUUAUUUCUUUCUCUUCAAGUUUUAUCCUCUUCCUGAAUAUCUCCCUCUCAUGUGUAAUCCAAACUGCAUUGUAUGUAUUGUAUGGGAGGUGCGCCCCACUAUGUUAAUAUGAACCCAUCGGCCUCAACAGGCUAAGACGUUUCCAGCUAUCACACAUGGUAGUCAGAACUGCCCUUUUCCCAUCUAAGCUUCCUGCAAACUCCAUCUAGCCCUAGCCAUGUCUUCCUCCUCCGGCGCCUCCCAAACCAGCCUCAAUGGCCAGGUUACCGAGAAGCUGACACGCACAAACUAUGUGCUAUGGCGCACGUAGGUCAUCCCCCAGCUGUGUGGCACCGGUGUCUUCGGCUACAUCGACGGCACCCAGCCGGAGCCGGCGAAAGUCCUCGUCACCACCAAGGAUGGCAAGAAAACUUCAUCGCCCAACCCUCUCCACCCAAUCUGGGUCAGGGAGGAUCAGCAGGUCCGUGGGUAUCUGCUGAACAAUCUAACGCACGAGGUUCUGCUCACGGUGACCACGGUCACCACCUCGGGUGCGCUCUGGACGACACUCGCUGGUAUGUUCUCGCCCCAAUCUGCAAGCCGCAUCAACAACAUCAGAACAUCCCUCAUCAACACGCAGAAGGGGAACCUCUCCGUCGCCUCCUACUUCGCCGCCAUGCACAGCUACGCCGACGAGCUAGCCGCCGCGGGCAAGGCGAUCCCCGACGAUGAACUCGCCUCCUACAUCAUCCAUGGGCUCAACACCGACUAUCAGCCCCUGGUCUCUGCCCUCGACGCUCGCGUGACCGAGGUAACCCUUGAUGAGCUCUUUGCCAUGCUAUCCAACUUCGAUCAGCGCAUGGCUCAAUUGCACGAGUCCGGCGGCGGUGGCUUCAAAUCAUCCGCCAACGUGGCUACUCACGGGCAGGGGGGCUCCCGAUCGCGUGGCCCCUCUCGAAACAAGGGCAGGUCCGGCGGUGGCAACCAUGGUGUCACGCCACCCCUCUCUGGUGGUCGCGGUCGUCGUGGACGCGGCGCUGGUGGCGGCGGCAGAAACCGCUCGGACACCCCCCCCCCCGGUGCUAGAUCUGCGGCAAGCCCCGGCACACAGCAAAGGAUUGCUGGUACCGGUAUGAGGAGGGCGACUACAACUCUCAAGAUGACAAAAAAGUCGUUGCGGCUGCCGAUGGCUCCUAUGGUGUCGACACGAACUGGUACGUCGACAGCGGAGCCAACAACCACAUCACCAACGAGCUCGAGAAAGUAACCAUGAAGGAGAAGUACCGCGGCAAGGAUCAAAUUCACACGCCAACGGAGAAGGUAUGAGUAUACGUCACUUUGGUCACUCAAUAUUUCGUACCCCUCGUCGCAACAUUCAUCUUAGAAUUGUUUUUGCAUGUUCCUAGUGCCAACAAGAGUCUUCUUUCUGUCCAUAGAAUUGCCCUUGAUAAUCAUGUCUUUCUAGAAUUUCACCCUUACUUCUUUUUUAUUAAGGAUCAGGCAACGAGGACAACUCUCUAUCAAGGUAGAUGUGUCGGAGGCCUCUAUCCGUUGAUUCCGGAGUUUAGAAGACCAAAUAAACAAGCUUGUGGUGCUAUCAAGCUUUCGUCCACACGAUGGCAUGAUCAUUUAGGACAUGCUUCUUUUUCUUUAGUUGAAAGAUUGCUUAGGAAAAAUAAGCUCCCGUUUGUUGGUGAGCGUCAUAAUGAGACAAUUUGUGAUUCAUGUCAGAGAGCUAAAAGUCAUCAGUUACCUUACCCAGUUUCUACUAGUGUUUCUAUCAAACCAUUACAAUUGAUUUUCUCUGAUGUGUGGGGCCCUGCUCCUAGUUCUGUUGGUAGACACACCUAUUAUGUUAGUUUCAUUGAUGACUACAGUAAAUUUUCUUGGAUCUAUCUUUUAAAGAAAAUCUGAUGUGUUUCAAGUUUUUAAAAACUUUCAAGCUCUCAUUGAACAAAAAUUUGACAGUAAAAUCAUCGUUGUCCAAUCUGAUUGGGGUGGGGAGUACGAAAAAUUGAACUCCUUCUUCCAAACACUCGGUGUCUCACAUCACGUGUCGUGCCCUCAUGCUCACCAGCAAAAUGGGUCAGCCGAACGUAAGCAUCGGCACAUUGUUGAAGUUGGCCUUGCUCUUCUAGCAGGCACCUCAAUUACCCCUUAAAUUUUGGGAUGAAGUGUUUCUCACUGCCGUUCAUAUCAUCAACAUGCUACCUAGUCAUGUCAUCAACAAUGAAACUUCGGUAGAACGGCUUCUCCACACCAAACCAGACUAUAAGUUUCUUCGUGUUUUUGGGUGUGCAUGUUGGCCCAACCUUCGUCACUAAAAUAACCGCAAGCUCAUGUUUCGAUCAAAACCGUGCGUGUUCCUUGGCUACAGCGCUCAGCAUAAAUGGGUCAAGUGCCUAGAUGUCUCCACGGGCCGGGUGUACAUCUCCCGUGAUGUGGUUUUUGAUGAAACUAAAUUUUCAUUCGCUGAUCUCCACCCCAAUGUUGGUGCACUUGUUCGAGAAGAAAUUCUUCUCUUGCCUCCUCACCUCACUAGUUUUGAUCAAGGGCGACAAAAUAUUGAUGAUCAUUUGUUGACUAACUCAUCUAAUGGCAUGCAUGAGCUCUGUGUUGAUGAAACAGGAGAAAACUGCGAAGAAAAUAAUCAAAAUGGUGAAAAACUUGGGCUAUAUCCCAUGUGUCCCGUGGCAGGAGACAGCGUGGCAGGAGACAGAUCCUCCUCGGGAUCCGCAGCAUCGCAGGAGAUCGGAUCCUCCUCGGGAUCCGGUGGCGCAGAGGAGACAGGCGCGUGCGUGUGCGCUGCUGCGCUGGAUUUGCGCAUCUCCGCGCCCGACACGCGGGUCCCUCCAGGCGGCAUGCGGUACGGCGCCCGUCCCGUCACGUACACGCGGCGUGACCUCGCGCGGCCCAGUGCGAACGCGGACCCAGGAGCUGGCCCCACCAUUGUCGGCCGGCCGACUGGCGCGCGGACCCGAGCCACAGGGCCAUCAUUGCGCAAUGAUGAGCGAGCUCGCGGCUCGGGAUCUUCUGCACCAACCCUGGACGUGGUACUUCAGCCACCAGCCACAGAAGAUCCAGCCAACUCUGCGCCGACUGGAGCUGCUGCUGGGUCCGCAGCAAGAUCUCCCUCGGGAUCCGUUGCUGAUGCGCCUGUGCAGCCCACUGGAUCCUGUGUGGCUGCGGAUUCUGCUGCUCCACCAUCACGGCUACAACAAGGGGUAACUCAGCUUUUAAAUUACAAACAUGUAACCAAAUAUGGUUUGGUCUGUUCCACAGGAGAGCCAGAUGAGCCAAAGACCCUUGAUGCAGCACUUCGUGAUGAUAAGUGGAAGAAGGCAAUGAAUGAAGAAUACAUGGCACUGAAGAAAAAUAAAAUGUGGCACUUGGUUCCUCCACAGCAAGGUAAAAUUUUGAUUGAUUGCAAGUGGGUUUUCAUAAUUAAGAGGAGAUCUGAUGGAACCAUCGAUUGCUAUAAGUCUAGACUCGUUGCAAAAGGUUUCAAACAGCGAUAUGGCAUAGACUAUGAGGAUACGUUUAGUCCUGUGGUAAAAGCAGCUACUAUUCAUCUUGUUUUGUCCAUUGUUGUUUCCAGAGGAUGGAGUCUUAGGCAGCUUGAUGUACAUAACGCGUUUCUUCAUGGUGUUCUGGAAGAGGAAGUGUACAUGAAACAACCUUCUGGGUUUGAGAGUAAGAAAACUCCCUCCUAUGUGUGCAAACUUGAUAAAGCUAUAUAUGGAUUAAAACAAGCUCCAAGGGCGCGAUACUCUUGUCUCUGUCACAAGAUGUAAACACUUGGAUUUGUUCCUUCUAAGUCAGACACAUCAUUGUUCAUUUAUAACAGAUCCAAUACAUGCAUCUUUGUUCUCAUCUAUGUUGAUGAUAUAAUUGUGACCAGCUCAUCUGAUGAAGCAAUCAGAGGACACUUAAAAGACUUGAGUGUAGAUUUUGCAUUAAAGGAUCUUGGAGACUUACACUAUUUUCUUGGGAUUGAGGUAAAGAAGCAUCCGGAUGGACUUCAUCGCUCUCAGACUAGGUAUGCAACUGAUCUGGUUAAAAAGGCAGGACUACAAGGUUGUAAACCAUCUCUCAGUCCAUUAUCCAGCUCAGAAAAGUUGUCCCUUGCAGAAGCUAAACCCUUGAGUCGGGAAGAUAGCACAAAAUAUAGAAGCCUAGUAUGAGCUCUUCAGUAUCUAACUCUUACCAGGCCUGAUCUUUCAUUUGUUGUCAACAAAGUCUGUCAGUUUUUGCAUGCACCUACCACUGUUCACUUGACAGCUACCAAACACAUAGUCAGAUAUGUUAAACAUACUCUAGGUAUAUGUCUAAAUUUCAGCAAGUCAUCCUCUACUCUUGUCAGUGUUUUUUAUGACUCUGAUUGGGCAGGCUGCCUGGAUGACAGGCGCUCAACAGGUGGCUUUGCAGUAUUUUUUUGACCUAACUUGAUAUCAUGGUGUGCACGCAAACAGACUAAUGUAUCCAGGUCAAGCACUGAGGCAGAGUACAAAGCAUUAGCAAAUGCCACAACUGAAAUCAUAUGGUUCAGUCUAUGUUGAAAGAGCUUGGUGUGAAGAGCAAACAAGCUCCAUGCUUGUGGUGUGACAACCUUGGUGCUACUUAUCUUUCUGCUAAUCAUGUAUUCCAUGCUAGGACAAAGCAUAUAGAGAUAGACUUCCAUUUUGUCAGAGAGAGAGUUGCUCAAAAGCAACUUGACAUUCGGUUUGUGCAUUCAAAAGAUCAGAUUGCAGAUGGAUUCACAAAACCUUUGCCCACAAGGAGUUUUGAAGACUUCAAGCAUAAUCUCAACUUGAUGAAGUUGUGAUUAAGGGAGGGUGUCAAACAUGGUAUGCUGUCACGUAUAAUGUAUGGCGUACCUACACCUGAACCGGCGCACCUGGAGGUGGUUAGGAUAGAUAGAGACAGGUUAUUUCUUUCUCUUCAAGUUCUAUCUUCUCCCUGAAUAUCUCCCUCUCUCAUGUGUAAUCCAAACUGCAUUGUAUGCGCUGUAUGGGAGGUGCGCCCCACUAUAUUAACAUGAACCCGUCGGCCUCAACAGGCUAAGACGUUUUCAGCUAUCGCACAUAACCAACAUAGUUAUUACAAUCACUCGUUACAAAAUUCACCACACAGGGUGGAACAUCAUUAACAAUAAUACCAUCUGAUCUAUUGUCAAGACUAUACUUAGCAAUGAGAUGAGCCACCCUGUGUAUAGGCUGAACGAUUAAUCUUUGAAAUUUUGAACCCUGUAAUAAAUUUAACAAGAAACCUUAAUGGCAGGUUUACCUUUUGGGAACUUUAUUACUAAUAGUGUUGACGAUUAUUGUAUGUUGAAACAGGUUCUUGUAUGGUGCACUGAACCUAUAGACUGUAGAAAGUUUCAAUACAUUUGCUUGUAAUUGUACUUGCAGCUUCUAUGGAAAACAAAACAGUGCUACAAUCUGACAAGAACCCAUUGCAAAAAAGAAAAAAUCUUACAAUUAGAACAAGAACUACAAGUUUGCCGGGAAUGGAAAGGGAAAGCAAAACAGAGGCAGAUGUUGUAGGUUGCCAAUAAAAGGAUUAAGAAGAUCCAUGGCAAGACUGCCCAAACUGAAAUUAUGCACAAAGGACUAGAGUAACAGAGGUCGUGCUGUAUUAUUUAUCACACGAUUUUUUUAUGUUAAUAAAAAGUCGUUCAGGUUUAUAAGGAGACUAAGCAAGUAAGCAUGACAUGAGUUGCAUGGCUGGGCCAGCAUACCAUCAGUCCAUCACAGUUGAGCAAUCUGAGAUCAGAGCCGUGCAGCUGCUAGCUCAUUCACCGCACGGUCGUUCGCGAUGAAUUCCCCGCCACACAGGAUUUUGCCCGGCGAGCUACUCUUGAGACUCAGUUCUUGGUCUUGUUGUGUUUGUGUCGAAUAUUGUGUAUGAGUUGGGUUACAUUUAGACUUGGUGUUGUAGUGUGGGUAGGAUACAUAUAGUGUUGGAGGCGGACAUUGUCAGGACCCCGACUCAAUGCCACAUCGAUCUAGCAUAUAACACCUCAUAUCACUUUGCGGCCUCACGCACGGUAUUCCCACGGGUGUUGUCUUACCUUUGCCCGGGACCGUUUGCGCCUUUUGGCACACGUAUAUGACAGUGUCGCUAGCAUCCAUAUGAUAAGGAGCCCGGGCUGACAUGGCUAGUCGUAAACCCAAAGUGGCACAGACUUACAGGGACAGGCAUCCAUGACCCAGCAUCGAACGUGUCGGUCAUCAGCGAGUGAAUCCAGGCUGUAGCACUGGGCUAGCAGGACUCCGGUGAACCGGGCUGUAGCGGGCUAACAGGACUCCGGUAUUCAUCGCGUGACAUUUCCCCGAAGGGACAGACACAGGAACGAGGAAGGACACAUGCCGGCCAGCCUAAGUGUUCCGGAGCAGUAGCAAGCUACCAUGGCUCGGUGGAAACACUAGGAGACAUUUCCCGGUAAGAGAGGCUAGUAAAGAUAAACAACUAGAUGGUCAGAUCCCACACAUACCAAGCAUUUCAAUAACAUACACACAAUAUGCUCGAUAUGUGCAAUACAACAUGGCAUCACAAAAUGACUCUACGACUCAAGUAGUUUAUUCAAUAGGCUCCGAGGAGCGAGAUAUUACAAACAUGGGUCUCAUGACCCAACACUCAGAGCAUACAAGUCAAAGCACAAGCGGAAGCUAUCAUGUCUGAGUACAGACAUCUAUAAAUGAAAAAGGCUGAGAAGCCUGACUAUCUACCAGAUCCUGCCGAGGGCACAAGAUCGUAGCUGAGGUAACAAGCUAAACGUCGAAGUCCACGUGGAACUACUAGUGAGACUGAAGUCUCUCUGCAAAAACAUAAAAUAGGCAAACGUGAGUACAAAUGUACCCAGCAAGACUUACAUCAGAACUAACUACAUAUGCAUCAUUAUCAACAAAGGGGUGGUGGGGUUUAACUGCAGCAAACCAGCUUUGACUCGGUGGCUAUCCUAAACUACGACUGCAAUGUAACUCUUUUGAGGUGGCGCACACGAGUCCACAUAUUCACCAUAUCAAUACACCACUAUGGAUCCGCUCCCGUCUCCCUACGAGAACGCCAUCCAUAGCACUCACGCUUAUCUUGCGUAUUUUAGAGUAUCCACUUUCACUUGUCUAUGAACUGAUAUAAGCAACCCAGAAGUCCUUUUCCGCGGACACGGCUAUUCGAAUAGAUCAUAUUAACCCUGCAGGGGUGUACUUCUUCAUACAUGUUUCCACCACUUAGCGUCUGCACACGACAUGUGCUCGGCAGACUUCAAGCGAAAGCCGACGUGGGUGUAGACCACGACCUACCUAAACACUCAAGUCUCUAGUCCAGGUUUAUCGCCUAUUCGGGUUCCAUCCAUGAGGAGAUCCGGCCGGAGUUUCGCUCACAGCCCCAAACGAUGUGAACAGGGUUCCCGAGACACCAAACGGGCGCCCGGUACACCGUGCCACGUGCCUACCGCAUCACAGCCCACCCCUACGGUCAGCGCUGUCCACGGCCUCCAGCAUACUACAAACACCAGAAACUACUUGCAACUCCUGGACAGAGAACAAGGGUGAAUAAGAAGUCGAGCGGGGUCAUAUUUCAGGGCCCAAUGUAUGGUAGUAGCUGAAUCAUGGAUCACAAACACAGAACUCAGUUCCUGAGGACGGCUACAAUGAGACAACCCACCAUGUACUCCUACAUGGCCUCUCACCGCUACCUUUACCAAAUCGUGUUCACACACUUAGCUCACACACAGUAGGACAUGUUCACACACCUCUGAUUCAUCCCCGAUGAAUCAGACCUGACUCAACUCUAAGCAGUAGCAGGCAUGACAAACAAGCAUGAAUGAGUAGGCACAACAGGGCUCAAACAACUCCUACUCAUGCUAGUGGGUUUCAUCUAUUUACUGUGGAAUGACAGGUCAUGCAGAGGAUAAAGGGGUUCAGCUACCGCAGCAGGUAACGAUAUGUCGUUGUUGUCCUAAUGCAGUAAAAGAGAGCAGGAGCGAGAGAGUAGGAUUGUAUCGGAAUGAACAAGGGGGUUUUGCUUGCCUGGCACUUCUGAAGAUAACAUUGAGUCUUCAUCAGUGUCAACGAUCACAUCAUCGGGUAUCACGUCUAUCGAGAGGGGACAAAUACCGGCAACACAAAAGGAACACAAUCAAUGCAAUGCACAAUAUGAUGCAUGAUCAUGACAUGGCAAAAUGAAUGUGUUUUGGGCUAAUGCAGCUAAAACCAGAUUAAAUGAAGUUGGUUUGAAUCCAAGAUUCAAAUUCAAACUCCAUAUGUGAUUAUUUAAAUGUCAUUCACUUCAUUUGCUCUAAACAGUAGUGAUAAGUUGUUCUAACAUGCAUGAAAAUGGUACAGAUGGAUUCCUUGAAUUUUUCUGAUAAUUUUUCAUAUAUAAUUUAUUUAAUUUGGAGUUACGGUUAAUUUUCUAUGAUUUUUAGAAGUUUUAGGCAUUUUCUGGAAUUUCCUGAUUAUUUUUUUAAAUCCCGAAAAUACUUAUUGCGUCAGCAUUGCGUCACUAUGACGUCAGCAGGUCAACAGACGCUGCUGCUGGUCAAACCUGACGUGUGGGGGCCACACAUCAGUGACACAGGGCUAGUUAGUGUCAAUGGCAGGUGGGGCCGGGUCAAAGGCCACGUCAUCAAGUCAACUCUGUCAUGUGGGGCCAGUCAACGUGUGACGUGGCCAGGUCAAACUGACCUGUGGGCCCGUGGGGGUUAGUUUAACACUUAACAGAAAAUAAUAAAUAUUAACUAAGGCGUGGGGCCCACUUGGCAGUGGCUCUAGUGGGUGAUUAGCGGGGUGUUUACGCCCUAACUAAGUGGCCACGUCGGCGAGUGACGCCGGCGACCACGGCGACGGCGAGACCUCGCCGGAGUUGCUCGGGACGGCGCUACGGCCCGCGGCUGGUCGCGCUGAGGGCACCAAGAGGAAGCCCGUGCUCCCGCGCAUCUAGGGGGACCCACGAGAGGGCGUGGGGUGGCCGGAGUUGAGCGCGGCAUCGACCCCGGCGGCGGCCGGAGCUCGGGGGUUCGCGGGACCGGCGCUGCGGUGUGCAAACAAGACGGUGGUCGCGCUAGUUUUACUCUACGGGACGCAACGAGUGCAACGGACGCAGGCGUGGGACCAAAAGGUCACCGGAGCUUCACCGGCGACGAGCCCGUGCGGCGGAGCGUCUCGGCUCCGGUGGAGGGAGCGGCUAGGGGGCGAAUUAGGCAACGAGGCAUGGGGAAAACGAUGCAGCGGCUCACCGCGGUUCUUCUGGUGCUGCUGGCGAGGCAGGGGAGGCACGGGGUCNNNNNNNNNNNNNNNNNNNNNNNNNNNNNNNNNNNNNNNNNNNNNNNNNNNNNNNNNNNNNNNNNNNNNNNNNNNNNNNNNNNNNNNNNNNNNNNNNNNNNNNNNNNNUUCUGUUUUCUAUUUUGCAGGUUUGUUUUGAAUUUGGUUUUGAAACCAAUUCAAUUUAUUUUGCUUCUGACAAUAUUUUUAGGAGCUAAAAGAAUUAAAACAAUGCUCCACAAAAUAUUUCAGAAUUAUUGGACCUAUAUUUAUUUAAUAGUAGAUAUAAAUCCAAUUCAAAUAAUUAUUGAUUUAAUUCAAAUGCCCAAAUUAAAUGUUUCUGAGACACCAAAAAUAUUGGUUUGGAUUUUACCUCUUGCCAAUAUUUCCAGAGGAUAUCAGGAACAUUUUCUUGGACACAUUUGAGAAGAUUUAAUUGUUGGUUAUUUUUAGAGGUUUCUGAGGCUUUGAAAAUUCCUCAAUUCAAAUUUCAUUUGAAUUUAGACAUGAUGCAGCAAGAGGUCUAGCCUAGUGCAUUACCAGAAGCUAGGGAUGUGACAGACAUGUUGUAUCCUUGACCUCUUAUAUAUGAGGAGGCACCCCAUGUUGUAACCCAUGACGACUAGACAGCGACAGGCUCGCAAGGGGUGCCGGCGUCCGGGUGGCCGGUGUUGCGGUAUCUCGGGAAGUAGCAUCGGUAGUCAUUGCCCCGGGAGUAGGCGAGUUCACCGAACCUCGUUGCAUGCAGUGAAAAACAGGAUUACAGGAGGCAGCAAGCAGGGAGUUCAUGGUUUCCUGUUGCAUUUUCUAUGAUAUGUAUUUUUCCCCAUUCAUCUGUGCUGUGGCAACGUGAUGUGGUCCUCUGCGACCGAGAAUGGGCUGGCGGCUGCAGGGGAGGAGCAGAUACGGCUAACGGCUGUGAUCUCUGCACUGCUGACCCGUGCUGGCAUGUUUGGUCUCCUUCUGAACCGCAACAAUUUUUUAUUAGCAGCAAAAAUCGUGUGUUAUAAAUGAUACACCACGACAUCCAUUACUCGUUCUUUUAGGAUACUUUCAGUUUGGGUACAGUCUUGCAAUGGAUCUUCCUUCUUGAGCCUGGAGAAAUUGUUUGCUUUCUUUGGAAAGUAAAAAAACUGUAGUUUCUUGUUGUUCUUGUCAGAUUUUAACAGUGGUUCAUUUUCAACGAACAGCAGAUUUGAACAAGUGCCUAGCAACAAGUACAGAAUGUAGUCUUUCUAGAAAGAACAUGGACUGAUCCAGUCUCUCUCUCUCUCUCUCUCUCUCUCUCUCUCUCUCUCUCUCUCUCUCUCUCUCUCUCUCUCUCUCUCUCUCUCUCUCUCUCUCAUGAUACCAUCUUAGUUGCAGUGGAAGCUCCAAAACGCGCCAAGGCAGGUACAGUUACAAGUUAAUGUACUGAAACUUUCAACGGUGUCUAGACAGUAGACACAAUAUACAAGAACCUGGCUUCAACAUGCAAGAAUCAUCAGCCCUAUUUAAAUUCCAAAAAGGUACACCUGCCAUUAAUGUUUCUUGUGCACACUUUCAGUUGCUAGCUAGCUGGUUGGGAUCCUUUUCUAAUUAUUAUAGAUUUAUAGUGUUCCCUAUCUGUUGUCAAACUAUCACGGCGCUUAAUAUAGAUGACACUGGAUCUGGUAUACUGAUUCUUAUAGUCCAGCAACUUCCUUAUAUUGUUUGUUCUCUUUGGCUUUUGUGCAGUAACAUGGGCACCCUGCCUGAAGAUGUUUCUAUUGAUAUACUCUGAAGAUGCUUCUGUGCAGUAAUUCAGUAGAACAGCUGCAACAGUGUAUCUGAGAUCAUUUCCAUCAGCAGUCCAGGUUCACUGAGGUUGUUCUAUUCAUGCAAACUUAAGCCUACAAUAAUUUACUGCUGAUACUAUAUACUAGUGGGGACUAGUAAGCAGGAUUUAGCUUGUCGGAGACCUCGGAAUGGACUUUGUUUUCAUAAAUAGACUGACAGAUACAUGUCCAGAUCCAACAGACUGACAGUUUGAUUGUUCAGUCAGUACAGGUUCUGAAAUUCAUGAUGCUUGUGAAAUUCAGGCAAACACCAACCACAAGAAUGAAAUAAAGGAUGACAUAAAGAAGAUUCAGGGAACCACGUCGUGUUCUGACUGCGAUUUCAGAUCAGAACACUCGUGCAGCGGCAGAGCAGGAUGAAACCUUAAUUUACCGUCAGACCGGCCCGUGUCUAUAAACAAACAAUGUCCAGAUGCUUGCAUUUUCCAUCUGCAGUGUGGGAGUAUGGGCAAGCAAAUCUGAUGAAAACAAGUGCUGGGUUCAGAUUUGGGUCCCAAGGAGUAUCUAACUGGACCCCUUUCUCAUCCCUGGCAUGGAAUUGAAGCAACUAGCAUGCUGCUAGCCUGCAAGCGGUUGUAUCAUGUGCCUGCCCCUGCUGUCUAAAUCAUUCAGAUCCUUCCAGCAAGUAACCAUGCAGUGCAGAACAUAACAGGAUAUUGAGAAACCAUGGACGACACAACGAACCCAAUAUUGAUUCCGACGAUAACACCAGCUGCCUGCCUCAUUUUCAUCUGUUUCUGGACAACAUGGGACUGGGGUUGGCAUGUGACUAGCCAAUAAUGUAGCGCAACAUUCCUGCAAAUAUUUUGCUGCCACCUCUGUUCUUCUCAAGUUUUGUAAACAAGUAUCUUCGCAACCAAACGGAAAAUUUUCUUGUUGGGAGAAGCACGUGUAAGCAACAACUUGCUGCCAAUUUGCUAGCACAAUGGAACCAAACUUAUUCUCAAAGAGGAACUGAACUUAUAGUUAAGAAGGAACUGUUUUUUAAAGGAACCUUUUAUGGAUUUCCGGCCAUGUGUCUCUCUCGGAAACGAGAAAAGUUUGUGUUCUAGCUUUUGCAUCGGAGAUGCGCACAACGUACAUGUAGACACAUGCAAACCGGAAACAAACUCGGUAAAAGUUUUAGUUACUAGAAAAACAAGAAAAAAAAAACUCAUGGUGCGACUCGAAGGUUCACGAUGGCAAAAUGCGGAGACUAAAGCCCUGUUCGGUUCCACUCCACUCCCUCGACUCCGCUCCCAGCGUGGAGCAGGCUGUAGCUCGUUUUCACAGAGCGGCUCAAGCCCAGCUCCACAGCUCCACGGAGUGGAGUGGGGCGGAGUGAUUCCAAACAGGGCUUAAAUCGCCAACGAUGAUGAGAGGUGGAGCCAGUGUUAUGCCGUUGGGUUCAAGUGGGUAUUGCUUAGCUAUGAAUCCAGAUAUCCAAUAAAAAUCACGCUUGAACCCGUCAAAUCCCAAUGCGCAAGCCAUGUCUACGGAUGCUUCAAACCUCUCGUCACACGAUCCCUCCACCAACUCAGCAAUCUCCUCAUCUUUGGUCUCCCCUCUUCAUCCGUCUGGCCGACGCAAGACACCAGCAGCAAACCAAUAAUGGCAACCGGCAAGCGUGAAGUGAGAUCACGUCAGCACAUCUUCUCCCUCUUAUUUCUACCUGCUAUGUUUUCUUUGAGAGUUUGAGUGUUAUAGUGUUGCUAGUGGUAUAAAUUAUACUUUACAUUUAAUUAGUUAGUUUAUACCAAACCAUCACAAAAGUCAAUGAGAGGCCAAAUUUUCAGGCUUCACCCAGGGAGGACUAAGUGUAUAUAUGUUGCGUGAAGAUGAGACCAACUACUUUUGCCGAUCAAUUGGAGUAUACAAGUAAUCGACUUCCUUAACCCAUCAAAAAGUCACGGUUGAACCCAUUGACUCCCCAACCGCACUAGUCAAAAGGCUUUUGGCCCAUAUUCAAUGCAAGAAUAAAUGGUUAGUAACUAAAUUCCAUCGGAGUCCUCCUUUCCAACGCGGGGGCAGUGGCUGACCUCCCGGCUACCUAGGGCGGCUGCCCGGGCUCUGCCAUGGACUCUAGCUUAAACAAUACUCCCUCCGUUCCCAAAUACUUGUCUUUCUAGGCAUUUCAAAUGGACUCAACAUAUGGAUGUAUGUAGACAUAUUUUAAAGUGUAGAUUCACUCAUUUUGCGCCGUAUGUAGUCACUUGUUAAAAUCUCUAGAAAGACAAGUAUUUAGGAACGGUGGGAGUAGCAGUAAAUGUACAAAUAACCAUCAUUUUAUUGGGGCAACCAACUGACAGACUAGAACGUAGUGUACAUUGCCCAGGCUCUCCAGCCAAGCUGGCUCCGCCACUGGCUGGGGGCAAUUGCNNNNNNNNNNNNNNNNNNNNNNNNNNNNNNNNNNNNNNNNNNNNNNNNNNNNNNNNNNNNNNNNNNNNNNNNNNNNNNNNNNNNNNNNNNNNNNNNNNNNNNNNNNNNNNNNNNNNNNNNNNNNNNNNNNNNNNNNNNNNNNNNNNNNNNNNNNNNNNNNNNGUUUAUAGUCCACCCAGGCCUUCAGGGAUGAGAUGGUGCUCCUCUCUCGUGGCUCCAGCCGCCUAGGCGAGACCCCUGCCGGCUUCACUUUCCAAACACACUUGGUUUUCGCCGUUGCCUCGGAGGUUGAUCAGCAACAAAGUGAUUCCUGGCUGAAAGAAACAGAAAAGAAGAAGGUUAGUCGGUGGGAUUGUUGUUGGCUAUGAUGAUGAGCGGGUGUCGGUCUGCUUACGGAUUUUUUUCGCAAAAUGUGCAUAGGCGAAAAUCAUGUUGUUGGUGCCACUAAACUUGGUGUUUAGAACUUUGGUUUUCAUCAGUGGGGAAAAUAGUAAAAUAUGUAGAUAUGAGGUGGGCAAACUAUAAAAAUCCCACCGAAGCCCUCCGAAUGUUCUUAACUUCACACUUCUUUCCAACACAUAGCACCACCACUGUUUUAUAAUCUUGGUGUGAGAUGGUAUCAGAUUGUACAAUAGCUAGUUCAUACUCAAGUUCUUAGUGGAAACAUUUCCUAGCUCCGCCCCUGGAGAGAACACGAGUCCCUCACAAGUGUCAACAUUGUUGGGCACGAAUCUCAGCUUCAUGUAUGAUCUUCUUAACUGGUCUUGUAUACCUCAGAUCUCGGGUCCCAACAAUGUUGGUAUAUCAAAUCCUCAGCCAAACAAAGCAACGCCUUGUGAUAGUGAAUUUUGUUUAACACGAUUAUAUGGUCAAUAUGAUGCCUUUGCGCAUAUACCAAAGCUGCAUGUUUUAGAUUGGAAUGUCGCAUUGGCACAACGUUGCAUACACUGAAUUGACAAAAAUGUUGAACUGUUUUGGUGCAAAUUCCAUCUGAAGGUGUCUAGGUAGUCUUUGCAACGGGAUAUUCCAAAGGCAAUCAUAAAGUUAUACCAUGCGAUCAAAUUUUGGGAGACAAGAACCCGGGGAAAUAUGAUGUUGGCUAAGUGUGGUUCCCAAACUAAAUAUUCUACAAGAAUCUCAUUUGAGAUCAAAACAUGGAACAUCUGAAUCUAAAAAUAUCAUGAUUCUCUCUCAUAAAACCAACCGAGAACAUUGUUCCAAAAUGGAAAUGUGUGCACUCCAUUUUUAUAUAAAUAUGUUUUUACAAUACCAAAAGCUAGUCAAGACGACGAGAAUGCACACAAAAGUGAGCAACAACACCAACCAUCGUUCCAACCGGUGNNNNNNNNNNNNNNNNNNNNNNNNNNNNNNNNNNNNNNNNNNNNNNNNNNNNNNNNNNNNNNNNNNNNNNNNNNNNNNNNNNNNNNNNNNNNNNNNNNNNNNNNNNNNNNNNNNNNNNNNNNNNNNNNNNNNNNNNNNNNNNNNNNNNNNNNNNNNNNNNNNNNNNNNNNNNNNNNNNNNNNNNNNNNNNNNNNNNNNNNNNNNNNNNNNNNNNNNNNNNNNNNNNNNNNNNNNNNNNNNNNNNNNNNNNNNNNNNNNNNNNNNNNNNNNNNNNNNNNNNNNNNNNNNNNNNNNNNNNNNNNNNNNNNNNNNNNNNNNNNNNNNNNNNNNNNNNNNNNNNNNNNNNNNNNNNNNNNNNNNNNNNNNNNNNNNNNNNNNNNNGGCGAGAUUUGUGGUCUGGCGGGUUGGCCGUCGACACUCUCGCGGAUGGCUGUGCUAGUUAUGUUUGAUGUCCUGCACUUUGGUGCGUGGAUGACGGCAGGCGGCGACGUUCCUCUUCGACUACAUUGGAUGAAGUUGACAGCGUCAAGAUCUGGUGACCACGGGGAAGAUCCCCGGCCGACAUGCCACAAAAUCACUGUCUUGUCGCUUGCUGCGGCCCGAUUCUCCACAAUCACGUCCAUGUCGUGUAUAAUAUGAUACGCCCGUGAGCUGUUGGUCGGCCCGAUGGCUGUCGAGCAUCUCGUAUGGCACAACACAGUUGUACGGUGGCCACUGCAUCGAUGACUGAAUCAUACAGAUUUGCAAAGGCCACGAGGCAUUUCAUGUCCUACAGACUGAACACUACAACAACUCAACUCUGAAAGAGCAAAAGAGGUGCACAGUUAGACAUCACACUGACAUAGGUUCACUUGGAUGUACAGAGAGAGCAGCACCUUGCCAUGAAGGCGUGCAGCAGUAAAUUAAUUAUAACAAACAAACGGGACAUUUAUGAAUUUUGCAAGGUCGAUAUUUAUCGCUAUUACCUGUGUUUUUAGCUCAUCAGAUUGUAGUACCAUCUCCGCAACGGUCUUCAAUGUCUGCAAUGAUAAGAAACUUUCAACUGCAAGCUUCUGGCAAUGAAUGCAAAUAAUGAAACACAAGUCCCUGCCGACCAGAAGAUCCACUGGAGGCUCCAGUAUAAGCCAUCUACAGGAGAAGUCCAUAGUGUUUGCUGCUCCUUUUUUGUAGGUUAUAAUUAACCUUGGGCUUCUACCUGGGGAAGCUUUUACAGUGUGCACUUUGGGUUCGGUUCUCUUGUGAAAAAACAGUUUAGUAUUCUGCAUUUUUCUCCUGAUAAUUGAAUUCAGCUACUGAAGUAACAUCAGUGUGAGCUAAUUAGGUAAGAUUGCAUACAGUGACCUCGAAGAGAUAUAGACCUAUGUGAAGAAUUUAUGAAGUGAGAACUAGUGGCUGUGCAUGCAACUGUCACCCACUGGUCAAUGUUCGAACUAUCACUCCAAAUUCUCAGCUUACUCUUGCGGUCUUGCCUGACCUCUCCAUGAUCAUGUUCAUUAUGAACAUAUAUGCUCCAUAGUAUGAUCCAAUCAACACAUGUAUUAUCUCACGACUGGAUCAAUUUAUCUGGAAGAAUUUCAGGUUGCCGAGUCUUUUCAAGAACACUACAUCUCACCGGAACAAGGCAAUCAUUACCAUGUCCAAUUCUCGCUAUAAUGGCGAGCCUAUUAGUCGCCAAUAAUGCUCCAAGAUCCUCUAAAAAUCAGCCUCUGUUCAUCGUCAGCUCCAACAAAGGGUAGAAAGUAGAAACAUAAAGCACCCUAAAUAUUUACCAUUAAGAAGGCCACUAGAUAAAAAGGCAAAUUCAUUCUUCAGUUAAGGAAAUAUAAUGACAUGACAUAUGUAGAUUGCUAACUAUUCCCUCUGUCCCAAAAUAUAAGAACGUUUUUAACACUACACUAGUGUCAAAAACGUUCUUAUAUUAUGGGACGGAGGGAGUAUUUGGUACAGAGAAGACCACUAGAUAGUUUAAAUAAAGCAACAUCAAUUCUUGAGGCAACGAAAAUUCACACAUGAGUCAGUUCAGUCGGCACAUAUUUCAAAAGCAGAGCAAAAUUAAUUUCUAAUUUUAGCAUCAUUACAGCAUUAGUCACUUCAGCCCAAAAGAAACCAAGGCAAGCAUAGAGCUCAUGCAACCACAUGACAAUCACAGCUUCCGAUCGUAAUUUGUACUAGAUCGUUGAUGGCGCGCGUUGCUGCGUCCGUCUAUUUUGACUUAAAAGAGUUGUUAGAGAUAUGAAGUAAUUGUAUACAUUUGUUUGCAAUGCUUUUAUAUAUUGUAUUUGUCUCUCCAUUUUAUAGAAUAUGAUGGGAUGUAACUAAAGAGAGAAAUCAAGAAUAUAAUGCUAUGUAACUCAAGAGAAAUCCAGUCUGAUUGAUCUGCAAAAAAGUACUCCCUCCGUCUCAAAAUAAGUGUCUCAACUUUAGUACAACAUUGUACUAAAGUUAGUACAAAGUUGAGAACUUUGUACUAAAGUUAGUACAUAGUUGAAACAUUUAUUUUGAGAUGGAGGGUGUAGUAUUUUGAGUUUUCUCCUUACGUCUAAUAUUUGAGUUGUGGUAUUAAGCGCGGAGAUAUAAAUUAUGAUUGAUAUGCAUGACCUCUUUUUGCCUCCUAAAAAGACCCCCGCAAAGACUCACAUCCUGAUAACUAAAAAGAUGUCGAGGAAAGACAUGAGAGAGAGAAGAAAGGCAGUACAAAUAUUUCAGAACUUCAGGGCGAUAUUUAUUAUCUUGAAAAAUCUCAAUGUGUUAUGGCCAAUAAUACAAGUAUACAUUGUGGUCUAAGGGACAAAUAUUCUGCAUUGCAUCAGGAUAGAUGACUGAAUGUGUACUUGCUCAGAUUUGAGAUUGUAGAAUUCCAUCUGAUCUACAAUAAUAAUAAAAAUUCUGAAACUCAAUAUCAAAUGCCAGUGGGUUGUUGUGAAACAAUGGCUCAAGUUGUGUUACAUCUUAACCAACUUACAAUUGCUUACACUGAAGUACAAACAAAAUACUUGUUAGCAAGGAAAAUCAAUUGAGGAAAUAACUACUUAAGUAGUGUGCCAAGGAGAAGUGCACAACAGUCAUAAUUGAUCCGUAAAUAACAUCGUGUAUGUUGAUGAAAGAAACGAUAAUAACAACAUUACCUACAGAACAUUUUUGCUAGUAUCUGUAAGAGAACAUUUUUGCUAGUAUCAUGUGUUCCACGGAUCUGACCAUGUUUUCUGUGCAGGUCUUGAGGGCAUUGUUAGGUAAUAAACUAAUUAAGAUGGAGACUACAGGUCUGAAUAUAUUACUCACUAAUUAGACUUGCUAGCUAGUACCUCCGUCCAGAUUUAUUAGCCCCCCCACUACUUUGAGCCAAACUUUGACCAUCCAUAUUCCCAGUAAAAUAUAAAAUAUAUGGUACAAAAAGUACACGGUUGGAUUUGUAUUUGAAAGAGCUUUCCGAUGAUACUAUUUUUGUGACAUACUUAAAUUUAUUGGUCAGCCUAAUAAACCCAGAUGGAGGGAGUUGCUAGCUAUGAGAAAACUUGGGAAUCAAUUUGAGGUCCUAAUGAAGAAACUCAUUGAUCUCAUUAGUUAGCCGAUCGAUGCAGCCUUGAUUCACACGUUGGCAAAAGGUAGAGCUGGCCGCUAGCAUGUCGUCUUCUCGUGGGAUUUCAACCUUCUCGGUUAGUAUAUUCCGCUGAGACAUAUAUUUUGCAACUGGAACAGUAAAAAGUAGUCUAGCAGCGAACCCAGGCUACAGAUAAUGGAAAGUGAUUGAGCAAUCACAACCGAAACCAGGGGAGUAAAUGAGUCUCACCUUUGUUUGAAGACGGCCAUUCUAGAAUGCAUGUCGGCAGAUUCAGUAUUUUACUACAACUUACUGUCGAUGAGAAAGUCAAAAUAAAUGGAGUUAGUAAUGAAGUAAACACCUAUUCUGGGCCUAGACUACAAAUGAGUGGGCUGGGUUGUUCAAGAAGAUAGAACACAAGAGCACAAAAAGAAAACAGUUUUGAGCAUCUUGGAUGGAUCUGCUUCAGUUUGUGUCUGGUCAACAUGUUUGUAAGCAAUAUCAAUGGUACUGAAAAUGACUUCUCACAAAUGAUGACAUGCAUGUCAAUAAAGCGAUGAGCCCAAUCUCUGUAUUAUGAUGUUUAUUAAAGACUUGCGAAGCUAGAGAAGCCAAGUCCUUUCUUUAAUAAAAUAUACAUUGGGCAUCAUCAUUUUGAGUACACAAAUAUAUGGCCAACAAUCAAGAAAAUCGGACAGCUUAUAGGAGAGAAGAGAGCAACGAAAUUUAACAGAGAGGAGACAAAAUUUGUCCAUCGCUCCUAUCUGAAACUCCUAUCUGUCUUUGCUAGAACAUACAAAAGGGGAGGAGGCUAGGAUCUGUAGCAAUUUCGCUGUUGCAUCAAGAUUAUUUCCCACUGCCUCACCUCUAGAAGAAAUUUUCUUCACCCGUCAAUGAUGAGGAGAGAGUUGAGGUCGGAGAGCACGCGAUCGAGGGUCAGGGAGAGCGCAAUAGUCUUUAUGGAGUCGUCGUCGCCUUGUGCACGGCUUAUGCACCCUCGCCGGCGCCGCCUCCUCCUCAGUCACCAAUUCCAACCCCUAGGCUGAUUCCCUCGUGCACUUCGGCUGGAUCCAUCGAGAUGAACACGCGCCGCUGGAUCGCCUCGAUCCCCUCGCGCGGGAUCCCGUCACGCGCCUCAGCUAGAUCCACCAAGAAGAGCGCGCACCCCGGCAGGAUCUCAUCGCCGAUGGCCUGCAUCAACGUGGGAACAAAGCAGAGUGGGAGGAGCUCCAGGCCGCCGUCGCCAUGGGAUGUGGUGCCUCCGCCGCAUCUGGGAAGGUGUCGCGACCCCGCCUCAGAUGAUGCAAUCGCCUUGGAGGGAGGGAGGCGUCGCAGAGGCAGCGAAAUUAGUGGGGAGCGGCGACGGCAAGGGAGAUAGCGGCCGACGGGGUCGACGUCGCCAUUGGAGAGGCCUAGCAGAGCACCAGCCGAGUCGUCUCCUCAGCCUCCAGCUUUGUUAGGUUUCUCGAGGGCUAAGAUAGCAAAGGGGAAGGGGAUAGAAAAAAUGGGUCAGACAGCCCAAUACCGAGCCCGAUCAACCACGCGGCUCCAAUUUUGCCACGGGAGCAGCUGCCCAGCUCAGAUUGCGGGAAGUGCUGCGCGAGAGUUUUAUUCAACGGCCGAAAACUUUAAACAUGAAGAUCUGGCGGCUGUGAAUGCUAAUGGCCUGAGAGAGCUCCUAAGGUGCACAGUUAUAAUGUAUUAAAAUACUUCAAUGGAAACGGAAGAAGUGGCCAGCAGGAUCAUACUCAAUCCAAUUCAUAGAUACCGGAUAUACAACAUCUAGGCCGUCAAGAAGCACCACCUUACUCAACAGGCCUCAGAUGAAAGGCGAAGCGUUAAUAGCAUAACCUUCUAAAGCCGGAAAGAAGGUAUGCUUAACAAGACUCUGCUUGAUCCGAGCUCCAGCCAUAGAGAAGCGUGAGCAACCACGAUAGAAACUGUCAAUCAAUUUGCCAGCACAAUCAAAAUGAAGCAGGCACCCAUAAGCACUAACCAGCAAGAGCACGCCACCAUUCACCAGAACGACGUCCACAUUCCGAUGGUCGUCACAAGCUCCGAACUCCCCCCUGAAUUCCGCAACCGGCGAUUCAAUUUGGUAUUUCACUUCCCAAACCUCGUUGCCGUAGUUUUGCAACACCCAUAUAUCAACAUAUUUUGUGGUGUUGCUCUGGCUAUAGAAGCCAAGUGUGUCACUGAUCUCGAAGAUAUACGAGUCAGUGGAAACAAAUGGAGCACAUAUCAUCCGGAACGACUCCGCUAUGGUGUCGAAUACUAUUACCACCGGUUUGCCGUCACUCUGAUAACGCUUUGGAUACCAGUGCAGGCUAUCAUGCAUCCGGGCCGGUAAGUUGAGGGGGUACGCUGACAAUGUUUCCGGCCACGCGAUGGACCUCGGUGGCCGGUCGGAGCCCAACGCAAAGAUAUAGCAGCAGGUUUGGUAUUUGGGUAAGCCCGUGAAGAUCCUCCGCUGCAGUAAGAGGCGGUACUCGCCGGUAGGCUGGUGCAGGUACAUCCCCAAGGUCUUGAGGAACUUCCAUGGCGCGCGGCAGCCUGAGGUAGGCAUGCUCACGCGUGGCCGGGUUGCAGACCGAGAAGGUCCGAGAGAAAGUCGUGUGGUUGAACUCGGAGAGGACGAGGAGGCCGUCGCAGGAGGCCUCCAGAUCGAAGCGCUUGUCAAACCGGGCGACGGUGUGGAGCUGGGCGUCGGCGGCGGCCCGGUGGUCGAAGGCGAGGAUGCUAUUGUACUUGAUGCUGAGGCCGUCGUCGGGGAAGAUGGGGAGGGCGGGUUGGCGGGCAUGGCGCGCCAGGAGGAAGCGACGGGUGGAGGUGACGAGGCGCCAGGCCCGGCAGACGGCGCGGCAGCGGAAGAGGGUUCUCGGGUCCAGGUGGACGAGGAUCUCCCAGAUGAUGAUCUCAUCUGGGAGGAAACGCGUCGCUCCCCCGGCUGCUGCCUCCUCAGCCUGGUGGAAGCUCGUCCUGGAGGUGUGCUGGUGCCAUGGCCGCCGGCUGGGAGCUCGUCCUGGAGGUGUGCUGGUGACUGGUGCCUGGUGGCGGCGGAGCGGAUGUAGCAAUAGUAUGGUACCUAGAUCUUUCAGGUGGUAGAAACGGAUUUGAGGUGGCCUCGUCUGCAGGUUCCAAACCCUACAAAAGAUUUCUUGUCAGGGAAAAGAACAAAUAUUUCACUAACACAAAACAUGCACAUAAUUCAUGUUCAAAGGUUCAGAACUUCAGAGAAAAAGGAGUGUGCUCAAUUAUUUUGUAAGAACCCAAACAUAUUGUGAACUGCGGAUGGUAACUACACUAAAGUUAUGCGAAUAAUUGACUGAUCAGCAGACCUCCUAAAUUGAAAGGGACACAACUCUUACCAUGGAGAGUUGGAGACUAUAUAAUCUACAUUAUGCACCUAGCUGGAGACUGUCAGCUUGAGUCUUUUUACACAUGUACUCCCUUUGUAAAGAAAUAUAAAACCGUUUAUAAAUCACUAAAGGGAGUAGUAAGGAUUUUGUUUUCCGAUAAUGAUUUGUAGCAAGGAUGAUAUUAAGAGUAGAAAGUAGGGAAGCAGAAUGUGACGCUGCUCACAGCUGAGGACCAUGCACAAGUACAUUUACAAGUCUGGCGGUGGCAAGUUUUCUAGUAAAAGAAAAAAAACAUAAAACCAAGAAACACACUGCUUCUUCGUGUUCUCUCGAAACAGGCUUUAUUCUCCGCUGCAUAUGCUGCAUCCGAUGAAGUUUCAUCGUUCCACCAAUGCCAUUGAUACCUGAGCAAACAUGCUGCGAAUCGCACCUCACCAGACACCACUAUUAUCUAUCAGCUGCUGGUCAAUAGGUGUCUGUCAAUCAUCUCGCACACAUGUAACGGAAUCAGAGACCUGGAAAAUUUAGAUGUAUGGUACCAGCUGAUGGCAGAGUUACAAAGGCAACGAGUCCUUUCAUGCUCCAAACAGACUGGACACUACUACAACACAGAGAAACAAUUGCAGUGCAACAGGUAAACAUGGCAUUUACUAAUUUUUUUGCAGAACAAGAGCAAUAAACGACAGAACGUCAAGGGUUGAUAUAUACCAUUAUUACAAAACUAGGGCAAACGUUGCUCCCAUAUAAGCUAGUACUCUGUGACAACUGGACAUUACUUGUCCAUUAAUCAAUCACAGAAAUAAUAAGAGGAAAAAGAAAAACGCAGCAACUUGGUAUGCGAGACAGAAGAAGAACCAGCGGUCGGGCAUUUUGUCCACCUUGACGAUUAUUCCAGUGUACAGAUAGGCGGGUUCCUGGUGGCAUCUCUCGAGAAACUACUACCAUGGAGGCACUU